CAAAAAAAGCUGCUUCGCAGGGAGAUCCUCUGAGCAAGAACGACUGGUUUGUUGGUGACCUGAUCUUCUACUGUGUUAUCAGCUAUACUACUACUAUCUUGUUUAGAUGAUAAUUGAUAGUUACACUUUGCUUACCUUUCAUGAACUAAAAAUUUCCAAGUUAGCGGGGCUUCACUUGUAUGUUCUAUCAGAUUCGUUGCUUAGGAAAUCGACCGAUUCAAUCCAAUUACUUUCAUCUUUUAUAAGCAACAUAGGAGAAGCCUCUUUGUUAAGACUUUUGAUGCAAAAUUUGAUCUUUUUUUAGUUGCAGGAAAUCUAUAUGGGCUCUGAUUAAGACCUUAGUGUUGAACUGAUGAAGCUUAAAAUAAACUGAAAUCUUCAAAUUUUGCAUCCAUUAGUUCCUAUUCAGACAUGCUAUUCACUUACUUAAAUGUAAUGCAUUUCGCGAGUUGAUUGAUUAUAUUGGAAUACUGCUCGAUUCAUUCUACAGAGCAAUGACUUCUGGAGGGAGGCACAGAUUCUUUCGAAACUUCACCAUCCAAACGUGGUAGCUUUUUAUGGGGUAGUUCCAGAUGGUGCUGGGGGAACAUUGGCCACCGUCACAGAGUUCAUGGUGAACGGAUCACUCAGGCAUGUCCUGCUAAGGAAGGACAGGUGAGCCGAGCCGGCCAUAAAAUUUUCUUGUAUUGAUUUCACCGGUGCAAAAAUUGCAUGAUUAUGCUGAUGAUGUUACUUUUUCUUUAGCGCACUUGAUCAUCGCAAAAAGCUUAUAAUCACGAUGGAUGCUGCUUUUGGGAUGGAAUACUUGCAUUCAAAGAACAUAGUUCAUUUUGAUCUCAAAUGUGACAACUUACUAGUGAAUCUUAGAGAUCUCCAGCGACCGAUAUGCAAGGUAGGUCCCGAAACAUACAUAUAUACAUAUACAUAUACAUAUACAUAUACAUAUAUAGCUUGAGAAAUGCAUUUCGAUGCACUCGAUCUGAAUCAUGUGAAAAUAUAUAUAUUUUCAGCUGGUUGCAUCUUCUAUAUUAUUCCUCAUAUGCUGUCCAAUUCCGGAGAAAAAUCGUUAACUUCCUACUAAACUUCGAGUUAGCUUACGAGAUAUUUUUAUGUGUAAUUUCGUAGGUUGGAGAUUUUGGAUUGUCAAGAAUUAAAAGAAAUACCCUGGUUUCUGGUGGUGUGCGAGGAACCCUCCCAUGGAUGGCGCCGGAACUAUUGAAUGGGAGCAGUAGCAGGGUUUCCGAAAAGGUGAUCUCCAUGAGUCAGUUUUUAGUCUCAUGCAAUGUUUCUUGAAAUUAAGACAGAGGCAAUUAACAGCAUGUCUUGGUCAUUUCUAGGUUGAUGUUUUCUCUUUUGGAAUAGUUAUGUGGGAAAUCAGUUUUUAGUCUUCUCAUGCAAUGCUUCUUGAAAUUAAGACAGAGGCAAUUAACAGCAUGUCUUGGUCAUUUCUAGGUUGAUGUUUUCUCUUUUGGAAUAGUUAUGUGGGAAAUCAGUUUUUAGUCUCCUCAUGCAAUGCUUCUUGAACUUAAGACAGAGGCAAUUAACAGCAUGUCUUGGUCAUUUCUAGGUUGAUGUUUUCUCUUUUGGAAUAGUUAUGUGGGAAAUCCUGACAGGGGAAGAACCCUACGCGAAUAUGCAUUGUGGCGCGAUCAUAGGUAAAUGUUAUUUUACUAUCUAGUAAGAAUUUCACAAGGCUUGUUUUUCUAUCAACAAUACAUUGUUGUGUACUAACAAAUUCGUCGACGAUGAUUUAUGUUCAUGUUAAAUUGUCGACUUUUCAUUAUUAAGUAAGUAGUCAGGCUCUUCUUAAUCAUGUAAAUCUCAUUUUGCCUUUGGAAAUUUAAACAUUUUAGUCGUUUUUAUGAUUCAAGCCUUUUUGUCUUGUCUAUUUAGACUUAUAAUUGAUCAAAUUAUCCAUUUCACAAUCACAUGCAGCAUCUGUGGUAAUAAUAUCUGUUUCCAAUUUUCUUCAGAAUUUAUGCUCCUGACUAGUUCUUUCUCAUUUAUGCUAUUUUGGGCAUACGGAAACUAUUUUAUGGUUACACUUCACACAAAGGCAUGGGCUCGAGGAUUGUAUAAAGUUCGGCGAGCUCCCGGACUUUACGACGAUCUUCUUGGCGAGUUCCAACGAGCUUCUUUGACAAGCUCCUGGACUUCUCGGUUGGUUCCGGCAGAACUUCCGACGAACGUUCGGACUUUCGACAAACUCUUGAACUUCAAACGAGAUCUCGAUAUUGAUUCCGGCACAACAAUUGUUUUAUGUCUUACUGCUAUCGUAAUUAAUCAUGUAUACUUUUCUCAACGUAUAGAUUAGAUCAAAUAAUUUACAAUUGAUUUCAUCAUCAAAAUCCGAGAUUCAACAAUAUGUUCUGACGACUUGCUUUCAUCUUUUUCUUAGUAUAAUUUUCUUUUGAAAUGUAUUGCUUGUUUUCUGUAAGUGAAUUGCUAAUCAGACCACUGGUUAUCAUCUUUCCAUUUCCAUGGGGAUAAGCUGAUACUCAAUGAUUUGAUUAAAUUUGUGCAACAAAAUCAUCAUCUUUUUGUGAAACUUACAGGUGGAAUCUUGAACAACAAGCUUCGACCGCCCAUACCGGAACGUUGCGAAUCCGAAUGGAGAAGGUUAAUGGAACAGUGUUGGUCACCGGAUCCCGUGGCACGGCCCUCAUUUAGUGAGAUAACCGACAGACUGCGUGCCAUGUCCAUGGCAUACCAGCAGAAGGCACAGACUCGAGCAAACAGAUGAAGCUGCCAAUUAGGGGAUACUUUCCCUUGAAAACACAGGCUUUUUUUCUUUUUCCUCUUUAGUCCUUGUUUUCGAGUGGCUUUAUGUCUUGAGUAUUUAUCGUCCAUUUGAGAAUUGUGGACAAGUGUAUUCCUUUUUUUCUUCCGGACAUGAGUUACUACCUAUUCUUUGUGGUGAUGCUACAACAUAUUCAAGUGUAUAAAGAAUUUUGUCCUUGUGUAAUGAGAUGAUAUGAUGUUAGUUUUGCUCAACUUGUGCUUGCGAUCAGUGAUUUAAAAAGUGUCGGCGUCAAAAAGUGUCAAGUCCUGAAACACUCGAAGCGCUAGGCACUUGCCUCAGAGAAACGAUGCACUCUAAAAUAUAUAAUAUAAUUAAUAAAUAUAAUUAUUUAAAUAAAAAUAUGAUAUUAAAUUAAAAAUAUACUAUUAACAGUAUAUUACUUACUGUAAACAGUAGUUAGAAGGAGAGAAAAGAUUUAUUAAUAAUAACAGAGGAGGAUAAAAGGGUCACUGAUAGUGGAAAUCGAUAGUGGAAAGUGAUAGCAACAACGAUGAGAAGCUGACAGUAGUAGCGGCAAAAGAUUAGUUUAAGAUAGUCGUGGCAGCGCUGCGAAUGGCAGCAACGACAGAAGCUGUGGACAACAGCAAUCGCAGCGACGAAAGCUCCAGAGGGCGUCCGUCAGUGGCGAAGGAACUUGUGGUCUUCUCCCUCGAUAGUGAAAGGAACUACACAUGGAGCGACGAUAGAAGAAAGCUAUGGGCUCUUGCUACGUUGUCGGACCCGUCUGUCAACGACAGAGGAAGGCUCGAUCCGCUACAUCUGUGAUGGAGGCAAUAGCAGAAAGUAUUGGCGACAGAGGCAGAAGCAGCACUAGGGUUGGCUCGGGAUCGUGCGGGCAUAAAGGGUGGCUUUUGAGGGUAAGAAACUGUGUUACUAAAUACUAACUAUUAUUGAACCAAACUGGUUCGAUUGCCUUAUUUGAACUAGGUGCUCGCUCGAAGCGCUCGACACUUGGGUUCGGGCGAGCGCCCAAGCGGUGCUUCAUUAAAGCGUACUGCCUAGUCCACACACGAGGCGCUCAGGCCUCACCUUGCCUCGACUGAGCACCUAAGCGAGCCCCCUAGCACCUAUUUAAAUCACUGCUUGCAACAAUGGCUAAAGUUCAAUUUUUGGGCCGGAACAUACCUCAAUUUAUAUAGUUGAAUCGAAACAUAGAUCUUGAUCUUUUUAUUUUGAGGCAGUGAAAGCUCUGAGAUGUGCAGCAUGAUCCAACUGACUUUCAUGUUCCAAUUGUGUGUUAUCAGCAAUAUAAUGUUAUUUUUUUUGUUGAAUAACCCUAAACCCUAUAUGUUGGAACAACCUCCACCUUUAAAGGUGCUGCAGCAACAGGGAUACAACUUUUCAUCAGAACACUGAUCUGGUUCAGGAACUAAGCUAAAAAUAAGGUGUAGAGAACCUAAGCUAAUAACAUGUAACAUCUAAUAUCAGUGCCAGAGGUAGUUAAUCCAAGAUUGGCAUAUAAUAAUCGCAAACAGCCUCAUGCAAAGGCAUAUUAAAGAUAAGUGUGAAGAGUUGAGAUCCUAUCAGUUGCAGCAAAGAUCCAAUUCUUGUCAGUGUGGAACCAUCUAAUUUGCAGUUCUCAGUGAGCUCUUCAUCUAAGCAGAUGAGUGGAUUGUAAAUCAAUCCUUCAUUCUAUCACAAGACAAACCUGGACUUCUUAAUGAAUAUAUAACAUGGUAAAAAAUGGAUAGUGUCAAGAAAUCUUUUCAUGCAAAUCAUACAAAUCCAAGAUCAACCUACAUUGUUAUAAUUUUGGAAUUGCAUUAGUUAUACAGUAAAAAAUAAAGUUUUGCUACACAUGAUUAUGACCGCUAGAAAAGGCAUAUCUAACCUGAGAUACAAUUUCGUCUGUGACCAAUUUUAACAUAUAGGAGGCUUGAAAUAGCUGACAUCAUUAGGUUUGGUCACAAAUGAUCAACAAUGAUAGCCACUUUGUCAGCAAUAUAUGCUUUUGUGAAGAGUCCACAAAUCCGAAACUGCUACCAAGAUUCCCGAAAUCAUGAUCUGAGUGGCAUCAGUAGAGACUAAAUGCAGUGUAAACAACUGGAACAGUAUUGCAAAGCCGAUCCUUAGUGGAGAAGAAGAAGAAGAAGCAAGCAAAAGAAUUCAUAGAACACCAGAAACAGCUGAAAAGCAAAUAACCUCAUGGCUGCUGUUCCUCAUCCCGUCUUGAUCUCAUUAUCCUCCUACGCCUCCUUGAUAUCAGGAUGUUGUCAUCUGAGUUCCAACCAUCAUCCUCUUGUAGGCCUAACAAGUUCUCACCCCAUAAGUAGCGGCGUGUUGAGGAGCGCCGACGAGCCCUCCCAGCCCUUGAAGAGCUUCUCCGUUCAUCAAAUGAUGAACCUAUUGGACCACUGAUCAUGUGAAGCAGCAGAAGCGUAGGCCACCACGGUGCAUUCCGAUCACCUGACAGGUUCUCCCCAUCAUUGAUAACAUAAUCCCCAAAUACAACUGACCCUGGCAAUGCUGAUCUGAUGGCACUGAGGAUGUCACUAUACUCCUGCUGGUGUUCUAGGUGGCGCCAAGCACGUUGCCUUGAUGGAUCAACCUCAGCAGGCCUUGUCGUUGGAUGGAUUCUCCUGGCAUGUAUACGAAGCUCCUGGUAGUUUCCAGAAUAUGAGCAUGAUUCCCUGGAGCAGCUUCUUAGCUUCUGGUCCAGAUACUGUCUAGCUUCUUUAACAAUCAUCCAACCCAGUACAACACCCCGGCAGAGAGGGCACUUCAAGCAACUGUCUUCUGGUGCAUUACCACCACCAGAUUCAUCAAAACUAACAUUUGCUUCUACCUGAGAUGCUAAAUAUCUAUCUUGUGCUUGUCUAUCCCCAGUGUUGUCUAAGUCUUCGACUAAACCAGUAGUCGUUCUAUCAUUAAAACUGUAACCACCAUGGGUCUCUAUGUCUGUUCUUGUCCCUAGGGCGCCAGGAAAGGAAGCAGAUUCCAGGGUGUAAGGAGAGCCCAAGCGAGAUCUCCCUGAAUCAACAUUCUCAAGGAUGGUAGAGGUGGAACCAGAUGGGCUGUCACUAGAGCUCAUUCUCAAUUUUCUGAAUUGAUCGAGGCAAUUUGAAUGCCUGUAACUUGUAUCACAAAUGUAAGAUCUGCAACCUUUUUCAUAUGAAGUGCAUAUGAGAACCACAGCAUUGUGAGGAUGAUCCAUGCAGAUGGGACACAGAACCUCAUCCCAUUGUUUUUGUAGACCAAUGGUAUCUGGAUUCUUGGAGGUGUUUUCUUUGUUAUCGGCCAUCUCCAAUACACUGCUGUAAAUGUUUAGUGUCAAACUGAUUAAAAAUGCAAAGGUGGAUUAACUAUCACUAUUUACAUCUGAGAGCUACAAAAUCUGUAACAGCAAUAAGCUUUGCAGCAAUUUAAGAAAAGAUAAGCACCAAAGAGAACAUAUUCUGACCUUUGAUAAGAUAAGAACAUCUAAUCAUCUACAUAAAAUAAAAUAAAAAACGAUCGUGGCAGAAAUAGGUUGUGGCCAAAUCCAAAAAUACUCUGGAAUCUGCAUUAAUCUUUAUCAACUCGUGGCAUCGACACAGAAACAAAAAUCAUACAAGAAAGUUGUUUCCAAUCAUGACAUCUUUAGCAUGGCUCUAAAUUAAAUAAGAUUUCUAGACAAGCACUCAACCCAACACUGUGUUCGAAGAGUAAUUAUCAUGAAUUUAUCAUACAUGCACUCACAUAAAUACCAAAGGCAAGAAGUUUGUAACACCAACCAUCAUAUGAGGAAUACAUCUUUGGGAAUUAGGUUAUCUUGAAUGGUUUCAUAGGAGACAAGUACAAUAACGAAUGAGGGAUUGGCUUUUGAAAUAAUUUCUCGCAUUUCAAUUGCUUCACUAUACCAAUCUCAUCCCCUGUUAACAACUGGUAGAAAUACUAAUACCACUGAUACACUCAUGUAUGUGAAGAUUGCUGGUGUCUAAUCCAUGUGGAUUUUGAAGUCAUCUGCUACAAUCAAGUGAAAGAAUUAAGCAUGUAUGGCAUUCACUCUCGGAUUCUUUUAGAUGCACUUCAUACAUGUGAUUUAGAAUACUGACACUAAGUGCUGGAAUUGUCUGGUAACAAAAAUUUAAAUGUCCCAAGAAAGAUUGAUUUCUAAUUUAACACCUAUUACUGUCAGCUGGUCCAAAAUAUAAGAGUGAGCAAUAUCCACCAUCAUAUAACUGAGGAAGAGAGAUCAUUUAUCAAGUUCCUCAACAUGAAAUAGGCAUAUACAAACUUUACUUUUAUUUUUUCCUUUCCAUUAUCAAACAAUUUCAUGAAAUUGGUGCAGAAAUUUUCAAGUUCUUCUAAAUGUGCCAUCUGCAUAUCAAUAUUUCUUUCCUUUUUUCCUUCCAUUACCAAACAAUCUCAAGUAAUCCCUGCAAUAAUUUUAUGCCGUAAGCAAGGUGCCUUGAAACAUAAAUAGUCAUAUUAGCAAGUUUCGUGAAGCUCAGAGUUAGAAGACAUAUAUAAAAGGGGGGUCGGUGACCUCUUCCGCUAUCUUUAAGAUAUGAUCUCCUGCACCAACUUGAAGUACAUUCCUUACGAAACCCCACAUUAACCCCACAUUCGGUCGCUGCUGCUAAUAUACCUCAAGCAAAGAAAUUUAGGAAUCCACAGAAAGGCAUAAUCUUCAAAAAUAUAAUGCACAAGCUUAAUUAGAAGCAAGAAACAUCUAUCCUUUAUCAAUAAUUUUCACUUAAUACAACUAUAUGCAUAUUCUCAUUCCACUAGUCCUGCCUGUAUACAAAUGGGUAUCUCCAGGUCUUGCAGAUUCAUUCAGUAAGAUUAUGUGCAUCCGUUCCAAGUUCCAUCAUGUGCUCCAUAAACAUCAGAUUCAUCCACAAUCAAUCUCAUGCGAAGCACUUUGUUCCUUCAGAAGCACUAAAGCCAGGCAUGGGAGAAGUCGGGCUGGUGAUAAGAGUUUAUGACCUCCCAAAUCACAAUCAAACUACUUGAAGUUCCCAAAAACUCACCACGAACAAAAAUGAAACGAUCUGAUCCUUUUCUCUGAAUCUUUGGUAUAGAUCUAACCGGAGUUUGUCCUCAAAUGGAACCUUAUAUUCCAAGUCACAAGUGCUAAUUUGGCAAGAUGCUCCUCCAAUAACUCAUAUGCAAAGAUCAUAACACUCCCCUAGCAUCAAAUCAAUCUCAGAUCCAGAAACUACCACCAGGUUCAAAGACAUCAAAACCACAUUGCUGGAAAUAACAACUCACUAUCACAAGAAUUCAAUAAUAAGCAUACAGAGAGAUGGCGAACUGCGCUGAAAAAAUGAAUCUUAUUUCUCUUUAAUAAGACAAAAACAUACACACAGAAAAAUAUAACAUAAAUAUAAAGAACAACACACAAAGUUAAUCAAAAGAACAAAAACAUUUGUUGCCCCAAAUCUCCAGCACGAUCGAAGUCAAAAUGGCAGUUUUAACAUAUAGAUGACGUUCUUUGACAUCAAGAUGUGAAUUGUUCAAUUUGUUCAACGAUAACAAACAAAAGAAGAACACUCCUGUCCCGAAUCGGACGAUGGGCAGAUAGAACAACACAUCAAAGAUUAAUCUAACCAAGCAGUAGCAGAAGAAUCUCUAACCUUAAUUACCCAAAGCACGCAACGCCUGCUCCGCGACCUGCAAAACAAAGAUCCAUAGAAACCAAGAUCAAACACCGCCUUAACUGAGGUCAGAAUCGGUCUAAAACUGGAACCUAUCACCGGCCAACCACAGGAUCUAAAGCCAAAAAUCGAGGGCAAAAGAAAAGGAACAUAAAAGAAAAAAAAAAAUCUGUGCUCGAGAGAAAAUACACUCUAAAAUCGUACAAGCAACUGCACCGGAUGAUUGUUCUCUUCUUUCUCGGUCUUCUUUCACCGAAUUCUUGUCCCAAACACAGAGAGAUUUCCUCUUACUUUAGUUUAUUUUUAUUCGUCUUCUUCUUGCUUAAAAAGAAAGGGAUCGAUUUCGUCUUUCUUCUUCUUUCGAUCCUUAUUUGAACUCCUCCGCUGGAGAGGCGAGUUUGGAAGGAAACGAGUCCGACGAUGGGGCUAACGAAAGCGGCGGUGGCAAUCGAUUGUUAUUAUUGUUACGGUAAGCGGGAAGACAGGCUUGGUCCUAUCGAACCGAACUACCCAUGUUCCUACCUGACGUUUUAUUACACAAGGCAGUGAGACAACGUGGGUCCGCUGCGGGGUAGUCGAGCAGGUGUCGACCAAACGGGUCCUCUAAUAGCCUACUGAAAAGGGUGACGUGAGGCACAAUAAAGUCGGUGUUGAGUUGGCUGUGUGACUUCUUUUUACCGUCUUGACCGUGAGCUUAAAUCAGAGAUAAUUCCGUGUUACCCUAAUAAUUAACUAUCUUUACAUCCAAUCAUAAUUUAUUAAACUAUUUGAUUUCGUUUUUUCUUAUAUUAUCGAUUUUAUUUAUAAAAAAUAAAUUAAAAUGAGACAAAGUCUGAUGAUAUUUUUGUAAAAAAAAUUUGAUGACAUAAACAUAAACAAAAUUAAAUAUUUAAAGAUCCUAAUAUAAUUUUUAAAAAUAUAAAAAUUAAAAUAUUAAAUCUAACUAAUUACAAGAGGAUAAUAUAUGUGGUGCUUUUUUUGCUUUUAUUUAAUUGAUAAUUAUCUCUUCAAAAUCAUCAAUCUCUUUCUCUAGUAUUGUAAUUUUGAUCUAUUUUUCUCAAAAUGAUGGUUGCAAAAUAGGGAUUGAUAGAUAGCAUGUCACGAGAAUGCUUGGUGACAGAAGAUGAAGCCAAGGAAGGAAGCACAUCACGCAGGCGGCAUCAUCCCCCCGCCCAGCACAUAUGGUCGGGACCGAGAAAGCUCAACUGCUGCUACUUGUGGACAAAGACCGAAGCCGGAGUCGCUCGAGGGGAUGAAUCGCCGUUUUACUCUGCACACAAUUUUCGACUCCGUCAUCCUUAUCCUCUUGACAGGUCGCAGACCAAUCCAUGGCUGACGGGAGUCGAGAUCAGAGUCCAUGCAGCUUGUGGAGGAGGAUAUUAUCGAGGACUGAUGCUCCAUUACUGUGUCUUCUAAUACACCUGUACCUCUCCCUGUGACCCUUCGUUCGGAGUCCAUGCUGCUUGUGGAGGAUAUUAUCGUGAACUGUAGGCUCCAGUGCCUUGUCUUCUAAUACACCUGUACCUCUCCGUGUGGCCUUUCAUGUCCCGACUCGUUGCUGUUAUUUAUGGUCGCUCAUGGCUAGCAUCUCGAUCUAAAAUUUGCAAUGGCGUGCAGAACCAUUCCUCUGCAACUCCCCUCGGUUGGUGCCAAGACUCCCUUCUCCGGCACCAGCGGCUCCAUGAACUGGAACCACAGAAACAGUCCAAGAGGCUCCAAGAUGAGGCCCUCGGUCUUCUCCACCAGGGAGGACCUCCGGCCGCGGCUGGAUGAGUACCCGGAAGGGAUCAUCUCCGGCGAAUGGACCGAGAACUUCUCCUUGUUGAGCUACGACGACCUUCGUGCCUAUCUUCAAUCACAAGUCACCGUUCACAAGGUAUUCUUCCUCGCUUCAUCCUCUGUUCCUUGCACCAGGAUUCAAGUGUUUGUCUGGAUGGCAGGUCGGGCCUUCUUCGCUUCUUGGGGAGGUCAUGUCGACGACGAUCGUGACCGCCAUAGCAGGUCAGAUGCUGGAGGAGAUCGAUCAUCACUUCGAAUUUGUGUCCGCGCUGCCGGUGGUCGACGGCGAGCUUAGAUGCAUUGGGGUCAUUUCCAGGCACGACAGGGCUGAAGCCUCUCUGGGGGUUGGUUCCAACCCCUUUCUUCUCUUCGUUGAUGGUUUAUAACCUCCGAUUACUGACUGAUGAGUGAUGCUCUGCUCUGAUCAAGCAGGCAAAAACAAAGGUGGGCGAGGUGAUGUCGUCGCCGGCGAUCACGCUGUCACCUGAGAAAACAGUCACAGGUACUCCUUUCACGCGGUCCUCGCGUGGUUCCAGCUUCUAAUCAUCCACGUCUCAUGUGAUGUGUGUAACCAUGCAGAUGCUGCAGCUUUGAUGCUCAAGAAGAAGAUUCAUAGGAUACCAAUAGUGAACGAGGCAGGGCAAGUCAUAGGUGAGAGAGAGAGAGUUGGAAACACCCAGCUCAUACCUUGGCUCUUGGAAUGAUAUUGUUUAGCUGACAAAUUGCCUUCAUCGUAUUCACAGGAAUUGUCACUCGGACUGACAUAUUGGAAGCUUUAGAGGCCGCCAUGGAGGAAUAAAUGACCCAUCGCUGCUCCAUGUAUGUCUAACUAUGCUGAGGCAGUAUCGACUAGUAUGAGCAUGAAGCUACCAUGGUUAUGUAAAAUUAUACUUGUACAUUGGGCAGUAAAAUGAUAAAGUAAUUACCAAAUAAAGAUUGUGGUGUUCAGCUUACUGCUCAAAGAAAAUUUCGAGUGUAAUCUUUGAUGCAAGCAAUUAUCAAACGCAGAGUAGAAAGAGGAGAACGCUGGCAAAGGAGGGAUUAUAACCAUGACGUAUGUGAUAUGCUGACAACAAAACAUGGAAGUGAUAGUACACACUACACAGUCAAUUAUAUAUGCUUGAAGCUACUGAUUUUGACUAAUCAACAGAGAUAUUACAGCAAUUCAAGUAUAUAACCCUGUCAAAUUUACCAAAGCUGCAGAGCAUACAAAUAUGGAAGCUCCCUUGAAAUUGUUUUCUUCUAUAAGUAAUUCCAAAUUUCCAACAUCAUCGUGGCUCAGAUGUUCUUUAGCUUCAACCAAUACGGAAAGUGAAAAUGCCGUUAAGCUAACAACGCAAGGUACUGGCUUACAGGGACUAUAAGUGUGCGGAAAAAAAAAACAUGAUAAGAUUGUAGAAGGAUUGGGGUGUCCAGCACACAGUUGGCACUACCUGAAGUGUUGGAAUCCAAGUAGAACGAAGGCUCUUACCCCAUCCUUCGCAUUUUCGAUUUAAGGGACAUUUCCUUGUAGGAACUGACCUUCUCAGCGGCCUUUCGCAGUGGCCUUCCAAAUGAAGAUCUUCUCUGGAGUUCCUCAUUUACUAACUUCGGUGAGCCACUCAAAUCCUCUUCCUCGUUCUUCACUUGAAUCAUAGAACCAUUUGCAGAAUCCAGUUGAAUAGAAAUGUUCUCAUCUGAUGACUCACCGAUUGACUGAACUGGAACUUUGACAUCCUCUAUUGUACGCAAGCUCUCCACGGGUUGAUAUGAUUCAGGUGUCAAAUUGAUCGAUCUCCUUCUUAGGGAUAGCCUAAUUUAAUUGAAGCAGUGAGGAUGCAGUUCUACCCUACAAGAGCAAGAAAAAAAGCAUCCAAAAGAAUUUAUUACCUUCUUCCGUCGACCUUUUCUUCUGAUGGUACUUGAUGGGUCAGAGUGGCAGAGCCUAGCAUAAGGAAAAACAUAAAUGUUAAGUGAAGAAAUGAAAGAAGAGGACUGAACAGAAAGAUCAUACAUGAUCACAUUUUAUCUAAUAACAACUAGUAUCAAGGAAAUUACACUGUGCUUUUAACUUGCACUUCCUAUUAAGGUUGGAGGUUUUCUUAUCAGUUGUCGUAAAUGCACCUGCUGCAACCUCACCGUGGUUGGUUCCUCCCUCCUUGUGUGGAAAUUUGAGACAACAAUUAUGAGCAACAAUUGGAUCAUCAAAAACAAAUUUUGAUUUAGAAUGCACCUUAGAGCCAACCUUCUGACAAAUUUCUUUAUUCAACUUUUCUUUCUCCUAAAAUUAAAAGAAAAAGACCUCAGUGUAGUAGAUCAGAUAAAAUAUUGGCCAAGGUAUAUUCAAAUGGUGAGUAAAGUACCUCCAGUUCUGAGGUCUUCAAUUUAAGGGCUGCUCUGGUACAACCAAGCUCAUGUUGUAAUGCUUUUAGCUACAUAGCAAGACAUAACAAGUUAAGAUAUUCUAAAUCUCAGAGAAAAUUAUAAACUUGUUCAUUAUGAGCUGCAGUUUACAAGAAUUCUACCAUAGAAACGGAACACUAAAAGUGCAAAAGAAACAAAAGCAGGUGAUCUAAAAGACUCACUCUAUCUUUCCCUAAAUUAAGCUCCUGCAAACAAAGAAACAUAAAAGAAUGAUAACGCUGAAAACAUCGAAAAAUCUUAAACGAGAAAGUAUUUGGCCAAGUUAUAGACCGCUAGCAUCUGAGAGUUAGCUCUAGCUAGCUGCCAAUUUUGUUGGUUGGUUUUCUGUAAUUGGAGCUCAAGUUUCUGCAACUCAAUGCUGCUCAACCGAAUGAUCUCACUGCCAACAAGAAACAUUUCAAUCAUUCUUUGGACCACGAGUUUCAUACACAAGUAAGGAAUCAAACUAAUUCAUAUUUAGGGAAAUUUACUGACUUCCUCUCAGCGAGAAGCUUCAACAAAGAGGUAUUUUCCUGAAGUAAAACAAAAAAAAAAGACAAAAAAAAACAUACUUUUGAGCACAACAAAAAAAAAUCCAAGAAAAGAAUUAAUAGUAGAUUAAGUCUGAAAAGGCAAAAGUCGUGCACCUUCAUCAACUGAGAAAUGCAGUCCUUGGGUCUCGGAGAAGGCAUCACGUUUGCGUUUUCCUUAUCGUCAUCAGAGCAGGACGUGCGGCUGAUUCCAAUCCCUGCGGAACUCACGGUGUUGGUGAUAUCCGACAGCCCAUUCCUCCUCACUGAGCUCCCCAUUAAAGGUCUCUUCUGGGUAUUCUCCCGUCCAUGAUUCGCUCCUACAAUUAAAUCGACCCAUUAUCACGAUCAUCCAAAAAAACUGAACCCUAACCCUAAAAUCAGGAGGAACCUAAGGAUCAAAAUCCAUAGAAAAAAAUCGAAACUUUAGGAGGUUAGCAUAGAUGAGAAAUGAACUAAAAGGUACCAGUGGCGCCCGAGUCGGCGUUGAUUAGCGAGCGAGCACGGACGCCACCAUCCAUGGAAGAUCGAAGAACAAACAAAUCAAGAAAAGCCUCCACCACCUCCUCCUCCUGCCUUUCUCUUCCUCAGAGGAGGGGUUCAAUCCGAACGGGGAUGCAGAAUAGGUGGAAGAGAUCUGUGCUGAAUUCCUCGAUGGGGAGAACCGGAGGAGGAGAUGAGAAAGACCGAGAUGCAACUCCGACCGUCCUUUUCAAAAUCGACAGAAACCGCGCCUCUGCUACUUUCUGCGUCGGGGUCCCUUUUCUAACUGGGCCGUAUAGGCCGGCCCAUAGACAGGUCUAAUCGACGUCCAAUAUGAAACCCAUCUCACGUCCCGUUUCCCGUUACCCCGAUUGCCCCUUCGGUCCGUUAGAUGACAGGGCGUAGAAAAGGCAGCGACGACAACGAUUUCCUCGGCCGCUGCCACCUCCGCUCCCUACACGGCCAUCACCUCCUUGAGGGGCGGCUCCGACGGGUUCGCGCGCGCCCUCAAAAUCGAUGGUUGUUACAGUCCUCAAGGACCGAGCCACUACGGCAUCCCCUUGGUCCUCUUCGUCUCCCCACACGACACCGUCGCGGCCGCCGAUCCACUACGGCAUCAACCGGGGCCGCUCGCUUUCCGAGACCAAGGGUUCGAGGUCGACAACUAGGCACCGGUUUGUGGGACCAUACGAUGUGUCAUCCUAUAUUUUCCACGAGUCCGUAAUCCGGUGUUGCACGAUACGAUGAGUACACGCAGGAUGGGGGUAUCCAACACAAGGCUUUGUUGAAAUUCGUGCAAUCACCUGAUCGGCGCGGCAAGCACUGCACCACCAGAAUACUAAUCACUAAGCGGAUUUCAUGAACUCUACUCGAGAUUUAGACCCACUCCAUAUGACUAUAUCAUGAAUGCAUAAAAUUCUUCCUCCACUUGUUCGUAUGUCUAAAAUUAUCGCUGAUGAGACUGAUCCGUCAUGUAAGCACGACUUCGCUGUGCGUCAAAUAAGUUCUUGACGUCUCGCUUUCAGCGGUUUCCCAGCAACUUCGAUUGCAAUUCCAAGAUGAAAUGCGUGCAAAUUUCCUGAGAUGCAUCCGAACGCACUUGUCGGGGGACGAUGAUCCACCACCGUGAUGCCGCCACGUGUCGUGGAGACGCAACGGGCCUCUUUCCGCGACGAAAGCGCCGGUCCACAUCCGACGGCUCUCCCACGCCCAACGAACUCAUCAUGGAUCUCGCCCCGCCAUGCCCAUGAAUGACGACCAUCCAUCGACACCCAUCACGUAAUGAGAGGACCCCCGCAGGAAACUCUCGUUUUCCCCACAUGAUCUAGCCGUCGCGGUUUACUUAAGAGGGCAGUUGGGCCCCGCAUGGGUCCCUUUGAGAAGACCUCACUGAUUACAUGGGUGAGUUAUGGGGUACAAGUAGGUCGGGUAUCGCAAAUUUUUUGUGACCCGAAUACUCGACGUGCAGCUGCCCCUGUUAUAUGAUACCUUCGUCUUCCAUUUCCCAUCCAUCCACUGUCCAAGCAGGAGGGCGAGCGGCAGCCAUGGCCAAGGCAGGGUUUCCAUCUGCUUUAAUUCGUCCCUUACAUUAAUCGUCAGUGUUUCUUCGUUUCUUAAUCCAGUGGCCAUUCAACUUGACCGCAGAAGAAGAAUAAGGGAGGUGAGAACGGGGAGGCGGCGGCCGGCAACCCAGCAGGAGGAGCAGGACGAGGAGGAGAAGGCGGCAAUGAGGAGAAAGACGCCGGCGGUAGCAUUACGGUCGUGUUGAAGGUGGACAUGCAUUGCGAGGGCUGUGCCAAAAAGGUCAUCAAAUCCGUCAAGGGCGUUCAAGGUGCGUGCGAAUCUCCAGCUCCCAUCGAUUGCGGCCGAUGAAUCCGUCGCGAAGUGCCAUCCGAUUGCUUUGAUUCCGCAGGCGUGGAAGGGGUGAAAGCAGACGCCGGGAGCGGGAAGCUGACGGUGAUGGGAAAGCUGGACCCGUGGAAGCUCCGCGAUCGGGUGGAGGCCAAGACCCACAAGAAGGUGGACCUCGUCUCCCCCGCCAACUUUCCCAAAAAAGGCGCCGACGCCAACGAUCCCUCCUCCUCCUCCGCCAAGAAGCCCGCCGCGGUCAAGAAACCCGACGACAAGAAACCCCAGGACAAGGCAUCACGUCUCUUCCUGCAUUGUAUCAUCGUCCUUCUUCUUGAUUCCAUCAAUCCCUCAUUUCUUCUCUUCUUUCACGAAAACCUAAGCUUGCGGUGACGACGGUGGUGCUGAAGAUUCGUUUGCACUGCGAGGGUUGCAUCCGACGAAUCCGGAAGACCAUCACCAAAAUUAAAGGUUAUUUCAAAUCCUUUUUUCCCUUUAUAUUUCUGGAGCAAAAAAAGCUACGCUCGAUUGUAGAAAGGGAAAUUAUUCCCCAGAAAGUGGCCGAACUUUUUCUACCAACUGGGCCUUAUUUUUCGCCGUCAGAUUGAACGAGUACGGCUCUGAUCGUCCUGUAAUAGCAGCACCGAAGAAUAUAUGCAGGCUUUUAGAUUAUUCUCUUAUACCCAAACUUUUAUCUGGUAAUCACGCUUGUAUCACUCAGGUGUGGACAGCGUGGUCUUCGACACCCAAAAGGAUCUGGUCACCGUCAAGGGGACGAUGGACGCGAAGCCGCUGCCAGAGGUGCUGAAGGCGAAGCUGAAGCGGGACGUGGAGAUGGUGCAGCCCAAGAAGGACGGCGGCGAGAAGAAGGAUAAGGGCGGCGGAGGCGAGAAGAAGGAGAAGGGUGGUGGUGGUGGCGGCGGCGGAGGAGGAGGUGGCCAGAAGGAGACCAACGCAAAGGCGGCCACGGUACCGGAGCCUCCGAACGAGAUGGACUACUACGCGGGUUACGGUUACCGCAUCGAGUUGGUGCACGCGCCGCAGCUGUUCAGCGACGAGAACCCCAACUCGUGUUCCGUUAUGUGAGACGGUUUUGCUCGCCAUUGUUCUCUUUUCGUUUUCGUAGUUAAUGAUGAGAUUUGAUGUGGCGAAGGAUAUAACAUGUAUGCCCUUUCUAAUGGUACGAUCUACAUUACCAUACUUUUGCUAUAAAUGGGAUCAUUCGAGUGAUGCAAGCUGGGGUUAUAACAUGUAGAUGUUUAUGGUACCAUGAUAUCAUCUUAUGUACGUAAGUGGCCUUCACUAAUAACAUAAGCUGCUUAAGGGUACAUUUACGAACACAGGCAGCAUCCGAAGUAUAUUUUAAAUAUAAAUUUAUGUUUGAUAAUUUUUUCUAAAAUCAUACUUGGCCUUCUAUUGAUAAUCUUUAGAUGUUGAUGUUAUCAUAGAUGUCGGUGAACUCACGCACCAUUGAGGUGGUGCUGGGCUGCCUCACAAUUGAUUCCGAGUAUGUCUUUUGGGGACCAUGUAAAUACAUCUGCAUUUUUCUUUAGAAAAUCGAAAAGCUAGACUUGGUUCACUUCCGGCAGCGUCGUCCCGACUUUUACGGUCAUGUCGGGUCGAUCCCUUCUCAAGGGGACUUCGACGAGCUAUUCGACUGGUCCCGAGUGUGCCGGUACUCUAGCUUCUUCAUGGGGAUCCGAGGCUUGCUGGGGUCACGGCUUUUUUGGGAGAGCGACUGCUGUUAGAUAGCACCGCCUUGACUCCCUGGGAUCACUUCGGGCCACCCCGACUCCUACUGACAUUGAAAAUUUGAUGGCUCGGUGAUACGUGGAGACCACCACUCUCAAUUUAUUGAGUGUUGGGCAGUUGAUGAUGGCAUUAUACACAGAGGGAAGAUCGACUACCAUGAAGGUGGUCAUUGCCGUCUUGGUUCCCAAUUCUUCCUCGAUGGUAACGGGGAGGAUAGUGGUCCCAAGUGGGAAGAUCACCGCUCUCUUUACCCGAGCGUUGGUGAUUUGAAUGGAGAUCACCAAAGCGUCGUCAUGGUGGGAGUAUUCAACUUCUUCGAUUUCGAAGGUCAUUUCGAAUUCAGAUUCAAAUUUGGGGUGCUUCUCCACCGUGCUUCGAGCAUAGGCCUUCCUCAUCAUUGUGCUGCUGCCUUCGGAAGCCGAUCCGCCGACGAUGACGUCGAUUUGCCUCUCGAUAGGGCCGUCGGGGCAUAGCGAUGCUUCUCUUGGCUUCUUAAGGUAGCGCCCGAGGUGACCUCUUUGGAUCAACUUCUCAAUUUGAUUUCAGAGGUUGUGACAGUCUUCGGUAUCAUGGUCGUAAUCCUAGUGGAACCUGCAAUAUUUAGAUCGAUCAUUGUUAGUAGCUUUCAAGGGGUUGGGUUAUCCCAAAAGCUCUUUCUCCCUGAUAUGGAGAAAUAUCUCAGUACGAGAAGUGUUCAAAGGUAGGGGCCAGGGUCUCGGGAGUAGCUGCUCGAGUCGGUUAGGCCUCCUGCAGGGUUGAGCUGUUGAUGACUCCAAAGUUGCUCUUCAGGCCUAUUCCACCCUCGACCUCUUGCUAUCCUCGCAUCUUCCUGCCAUUAGGGUCUCCGCGACGAUGUACUGAUUGGCACGUUGGAGCAUCUCGGGGAUGGUUGUAGGUGGCUUCUCGAUUAGUGACCAGAAGAACCUUGAGGGUCGUAGGCCCAUCAGAAAUGCCUACAUAAUUAGAGAGGGAUGAGUGUCAGGGAACCCUCGGAUUUCAGCGGCGAAGUGCACGACGAAUUGGGAAAGUGAUUCGCCCACGCACUGGGACAAUGCGAGCAGUGUGGCCAUGGAAGGCCUGGGUCGCAUGCUGGCCAAGAAAUUUUGCUUGAACUCCCUUGCAAGCUAAUCAAAAGAAGAGACCGAGGCUGGUUGUAGUCGGCCAAACCACAUCCGCACUGGUCCUCUGAAGGUGGUUAGGAACGCUCGACACAUCAGGGUGUCGGAAGUGCCAUAAAGGGCCAUUUGAGCCCGAAAUAUAGUGACGUAUUCCAUUGGGUCGGAGCCACCAUCGUACGUCUCUAGUCUCGGAAGUCUGAAGUUGAGCAGCAUGGGCAAGUCUUGGAUUUCUUGAGCAAAAGGGGAUCCACCUGAACUGUCUUCCUCAGUCUCAUCGCGCGACUUCUGGAAUUUACGCUAGAACUCAUCUAGGCGACAAUUGACCACGGACAACUGGACCCUGAAUGAGUUGUCGGUCGAGUCUGAUGAUAGGGUGUCGGGCUCGAGGAGCGAUGGUAUGGCUUGGCAGGAUGCAAGUGCACUUUGCUCAGGGAGGUUUCUAGGGGCUGCGGCCUGCUCUUAGGCCUCUCCUAUCCCGACCUGUUCCACGUUCGGCCUCUACGGUGUCGGGUCGAUCAGGGGAGCUGCUAACUAUAUGAUCUGCGGGAUGAGUGGGACGACCAUUUGCAUCAUCCCCGCCAAGGUUUGUACUUGUUUGGCUAAGCCAAGGAACGUCUCGGGUGAGACGACUGAGGGUCCUAAAGUGUUUCUAGGAGGAGAGAGUCUUGGAUCGUUGAACAGAUGCCAGUAGUGAUCCGGCAUCGACGUCAGGAUGCCUCCAUCCUUGGGAACGGGGAGGGGCUGCUCUCCAAGCCCGAAAGGGAGGUGAACAGUAGGUGGUUCUCCUUCAGGGUGAGCUCUUGCAGGAUGUUCCUACGACAUUAGCCCUCCUUCUAGCGCCAAAAAUGUUGGUGAACUCAUGCGCCGUGGCAGAGGAGUCAGCACAACUUAGUCCACGGGUAGAUGUCCGGAGUCAUCGAUGUUCAAGAGUGUGUUUCUCGGUUGAUUUGAGGCGGUGUCGAGGUCGGGUUGGAUCAGAGGUUGGGGUGGCAGCUACUCCAACAUGGGAUUGAGCUAGCUCGGGCAUUCCCGCAUCCCUGGACAUAAGCCCGAGUCUAGGGAUUCCUGACUUGGGCCCCUCGUAGAUCAAAUCAGUAGUCUUUUUUCUUCCCCCUAGGCAGAUGCCAGUCAGGGGCUUUUAUACCGGUGUCCGAGGGUCGGUCGUAUGCGGAUUUGGCAUGACAACCGACCCCCCAAGUGACGAGUAUGUACCUUCAUGCGGUCGUCCCUCGGUAUGCACGAAACGACGCCAUGUGACACCGUCCCAAGUUUUUCGGAACGAGACUUGUCAAGAGGUCGCCUCCCUGUAUGAGCUUCGACUUGAUGCGAGAGGAAGGCGGUCCUUGUGUUGAGGGCCAGUGUUCGUGUUGACGCUAGAGGUGGAUCGUGACGUGGAUCAUAACGCCUUCGAGAUCCGAAAUACGCCUUAUCGGUAUAGUAGUAUUACCAUUUCAAUAUUUGUGGGAUGCUAAUGAAUUUAUUUUAAUUUUUUAAAAUAUCUUAUAACAUCAUCUAUCUUAUCGUAUUACUAAUAUCCAGAAUGGUACCAACUCUAUUCUUUAAUUUUAUAGCUUACUUUUCCUAAGAUAUCUUUUAAUUUCUUCCCUAAAGAAAAAUUAAUGUUGAUUUGCCAAUUAUUUUUCUUAAUAUAUCUUAAUACAAUAACAUGAUUUAAUGAGAAAUUAAAAUGAUUUAUGUCUUCUAUAAAGUGAAAAUUUACUUAUUUAUUUUUAAAGAUUAUUUAAUAUUUUUAUUUAUUGUAUAUCUGGCUUAUAAAUUUUUUUAUAAGAUUACAUACAUACAUUCAUUUAUUUUAUUAAUUUAAAUGGAAAAUAUUUAUUCACUUUUGAAUAAAUAAAAAAUUAUUAGAAUGGUAAAAUUGUCAAAUAAUAUUCGAUAAAUUUUUAAAAUACAAUUUUACCCAACAAAGACACAUUUCUGCACAUUCACUAAAUCCGACCUAACCACGAUUAAGAGAUUGGUCGAAACGAGACGAAGUAGAUGCAAAUUGGCACUACUUAAGCAAGAAUGUCCGACGUGUUGCCGUCGGCACCGUCAAACAAGAGCUCAUCGUCGCUCCUUACCGUACUUUCUUGCGGUCGUCUCUUGUUACAAUAGCAUCAACAUCGCCGUCAUCUUCAUCCAAGUCGAAACUAUUCACCUCAUCCCGCCGCCACUCUUUCUGGAGCCUCGUUUCACCGCUCAUCAUCCUCCUGCACGCACUGCAUGAUUCGUAGUCUUGACAGUAUAUGAAGCUUCUCAAACUUGAAUUUUGCUCGACCUGCUCCACCAGUAAUUCGCCUACGAUGUUAUCCAUCCAUUUCUUUAGUGGCAUGGCUUCCCAUCCCUCGUUGAGAUACACCAGGGAAUGGGAUAGAUUGCACACCUCAAGAUGCUUCAUGCACAUGCAUAUUAACAUUAGACUUGCUGCGGACACGGUGCAACACCGCAAGCUCAAGACCUUCAAACGGAGGUACAUUGAGAUGGCUGACGCGAAUUCACCGUGGAGGGAACCCAUGACCUUUAGCUCAGUCAAUCUCUUGCAGGACCUAUUUAUCGUCUGGAUGGUGUGCAGGGGAGAAGCCAUGUCAGGCACGGUAAUCGAUUUCAAUCCUCUCCAGUUCUUUAUGGCAUUGCAUAUUGCAGCUUUGCUGAUGCGUUCCAUACAGGGCAGGACGAGCCUUUUAAGACGAGGACAUCUAUACAAACCAACAAAGAGCAUAUAUACAUAGAAGAAGAAGAAGAAGAAGAAGAGAAGAAGAAGAAGAAACAAAUGGACCAAUUACCCUCGAGCAAUGAGGUUCAACUGCUCAUCGUUCAUAUGCAAGCUGGGAUGGAAUAUGAUGCAUCUUACGUUUGCUCGACCACAAGCCACGACAGUCCUCAGUGCUUGUGGCAACCUAAGCCCUGUAUCCACCCUUACGAAGUUCGACUGUAGAACCUGGAGAUCGACCAUUCUCCAAAGUGAUGAAUGUAAAGCAGCCAUUUGCCAUGAUUGGGCAACUCGAGCUACAGUACAUCGAUCCAUCGGAUUUAGUUCUUUGAAUACCUCCAUAAGAAUAUCAAUAUGUAGAUCCCCCCAUCCUUUUAGCUUAAAGGUAGUGAUGCUUGUCAUUUUUCUGGUUUAAGGUGCAGCAAGCGACACUAUGAAAGAAAAAGAGGAAGACAAUAUUAACAGAAGAGUGGAAAUGCUUGCAGAAGAAGAAUGGUCGGUCACAAAGCAAGAUGAAUUGACAUGCAUUUUUUUUUUAUUUUUUUGUAUUUAAUAGGUCCUUUUAAUGAACAGUAAAACGGGUGAAAAAAAACUCAAAUAUCUACAUCACAUUAGAAAAAUAGAGCAAAAAAAAAAAAUAAAUAUCCAUAUUUCAACUCAAUCUCAAGCACUUGCAUGAAUUGACUUGUUCCAUGAAGGUCAACGAAGAAUUAAAUUUAUAUAUAUGUUGAUGAUUUAGACAAAUAUUUUAGCUCCUUUUCUAUGCUUAUUUAUAGAUCUCUCUCAUAACAUUCGAGUAAAUAGUCAAAUCAAAGUAGCAUAUGAAGAGAUAUUAUUAUUAGAUAUACGAGAAAUCCUUUCAAUGAUCUUUUGGCAGUAAGAAACUCAGAUCUGAGUAGAAAAGAUUAAGAAAGCCAAAAAAAGAAAAUAUAACAUUACCGGAUCCACAAAAGAUGAUCACCUAAUGCAUUUGGGUUUCUCUCUCUCUCUUAUUUAUUUAUAAGGCUGACCGGACAUCGUAGAGGAGAGGAUGUAGGCGGAGCCUUCCGAUUCGCGUGAUUAUAAAUGAUAAAUAUUAAUAUCAAUUGUUGCAAAUCAGUAUAUUUGACAUUAGGGAGAUUUACCAAAUCCUAAACACAUGCGUUUUGUGUCACAUUAUAUAAAUAUAAUAUAAUAAAUAUAUAAUAAUGACAUGACUAUUAUUUUUUAUCAAUCAAGACAUCAUCAUCAUGUGUGGAGUUUAAUCAACGCCACAUUUGUGUUAUCUACUGAAGAUAAUAAAAAGCCGAAUGGAUUUGUUAUAUUAGCAUUAUAUCUAAAAUAAAUACUUUUUAUUAAAUUAGUAGUUAUUAAAAUGACAUUGUAUAAAUCAGCCUCUCCAUUUAUGUCUUUAUUAUGAAAGCAUUCAAGUGAAUUUGCUCUUUUAAACUACUUACAAAUUUACAAAUUUACGAUAUAAUUUUUUACAUGAAUGAAUUAAAAUAGGAUAUAAUUUUUUUUAAUCUUAAAAAAAAUUCGUGAAAUCAUGGAAUCAGUUAACUAAAUCGACUGAGACCAAUCAAACUCGAGCCUAACAAACAAUAGGUUAAGCCAAGUGCGACAAGCCGAGUUUUGAUAGUGCUUUGUCCAAAAAUCGAUCAUCCAAUCGACUAAUCCUUGUCAAAAAUUAAAGAAAUUGCUGAAAAAAAAGGUUUUGCUAAGUUUAAACCUAACCUGAUUAGCCUAUUUAAACCUAAAUCUUUAUCUUAGAAAAUGAAAAGUUGUGAAACUUGUUAUUUUAAAUGAACCUUAAUACUUGAAAAAAAUAAUCACCAUAUAGAGUGUGAUAUUUUUACCAUCAUAUUAUAUAAUGACUUAUGAUAAAUGAAUAGCACAAAUAUGCAUAUAAGACAUGUUUGUGUCUAUACCACCCAAUGUAUUUAAAGUAUCCUUUUGUAUAUGAUCCAUUUAAUCAGGACAAAAAAAUUCAAAAUGUUCAUCGUAACCAAUCAUGCUAAAGCGCCCUUACAGUAUGUAAUAUAUCCAACAUGAUUAAAAGUAUCUUGUUUAUGCAUAAUAUAUUUGCUUAAGAAAAAACAAAUUAAAAACACCAAUAUUACUCACAAAACCAAAGCAUUUCUCUUACCAAUAAUACAUCUGCCUACAACAAGAAAGUAUCAAAAACUCUUGAAACAAUCAACAAAGCCAAAACAUCCCUCUUAAUCAUGAUGUAUUUAACUUAUAAUAAAAAAAUCCAAAACAUAUCCCUUUUUGAGUGUGAUGCAUCAAUCUUAGGAUAAGAAAAUAUUAGAAACAUCUAACAUGAGUUAUCAAGUGAAGGCAUAUGUCUCUUGUUUGUAAUAUGGAUAACUCAAAUAUCAAAUAUCAAGUCUAAUCAAUAUCUAUUAGAUAUUGCUAGGACAUGUUAUAUCAACUAUCAUUCAUCGUGACCUCUUCAUAAAUGAUGAAAUAAUAGAAGAUAAGAAUAAUUAUUGAAGAAGUGAAAAGGCUUAAAUAUAUUAAUAUGUCCAUCUCCUAUUUAUACAGAUUAAGAGGAAAGAUUUCAUCAACAGAAUAGAAGAUUUUCCUCAUCAAAAUUGGAGAAAUCUUAUUUUCUAUCAAUAUAUGCAUUUAUUUUGAAUCGAAGCUAAAAAAAGUUAGCACUUAAACUACUUGACCCUCAAGAGAUGUAAUUGGAUAAACUCAACGUGAUCUUUUGUAAGAACUAAAAAGAUUAUAUGAGAUAUAAGAUACAUGCAUUUUUGUACCUUGAGAAAUCUUACUCAGGUUGACGAUCAAAAUUGAGCAUAUGAAUACUUUAUAUGUUUUAUAAAGUAUUUUGAUGCUAACUAAAAUUUUAAUUAAUAGAUUAAUUAAUGAUCAAAUGAUGCACAUUAACUAUAAGAACUAUAUGCAAUCUCUUUUCUCUUUUUCUCAAAGCCAUGUUGAAGAUAAAAAUAAAGGGUCGACCAGUAAUAAAUGAAUUCAACCUUGAGGUGGGCAACAACAUAAGGACUUGCUAUGUUCUUCCAUCGGUAAAAAUGAAUCAGUAUGGAACAACAUAGCAACCAUUCUCUCUGCUCUCUUUGUUCUUUUUCUAUUUUUUCUGUUCUUCUCUCAUUGCAGAGCUCGCAUGGUGGGGGGAGUUGAUGGAAGAAGAGGUUUAUUGUCUCUCCAAAGUGAAUAACAAGCAAGCUGGCCAAGUAGAAUGCAAAGAACCUACAUAGGUUGGAGGGUAAACUGGCAAAGCUCCAUUUUGUCACCAACAAGCAGGUAAGUUGUACUUAUCUUUCACAUUUAAGACAAUAUUUGUUUCUCAUAUAUGUUGUGAUGCUUUCAAUACAUGUGCUAUUUUUGAGACUGAGACUAACUUGGUAGAAUAACAAGUUCUUCAUUGGUCAUUGCAAGAUCCCAAAGAGCAACAACUGUUUACAUGAUUCCAAAACAAGCAGUUCUAGGUUUUGGCAGAAUCACUGACAGAAGCCUCUGCAGCCUGGCAAAUGAGCCCCAGGAGGCUCCCAGCUUUCCUCUUGGCCCUUUCUGUGCCAGUCUCAACAAGCUCUUUUAACACCUCUUCUGCUCCCCCCUCCUUUGCAGCCUCAAGGUUCUCUUCAACACCACUGCACAAUGAAAACAACAGCGCGGCAGCGUUCUCGCGAACCUGCGCUGAUCCGGUCUUCAUUAGCUUUAGCAAAACUGGAGUAGGGUCUGAAUGUGCGAUCGCCACCUUGCCUUCUUGAAUACUUGCAAGAAUUGCCAGUACGGCUAGUGCUUCAUCGACCAGACUAGCACCAGGAUCGUCCAGCAUCGUCAUCAAGUGUACCACGAUACCGGCUUGCAGUGCGACAACCUUGUUACCAGGAUAAAGGCAGAGAUUAAAUAUCGCAGUGGCCGCGUCUUUCUUGCCUCUUGGACUGCCUUGGCACAGCAGACUGAUAAGUGCAGGUAUAGCCCCAGCUUCCCCUAUGAGGGCUUUGUUUUGAUCUACAGUUGACAAACUAAAAAGAGUAGCGGCAGCAUUCUCCCUUGCUUCCAUACUCUCGCUUUCAAGCACCUUUACUAUCUCGGGUAUUGCCUUCUCUUUUACAAUGAUACCCUUGUUAUCGCUAUUUAUCGAAAGGUUAAGAAGUGCUGUAACUGCAUGCUCUUGUGUUCUUGGAUCUGGAGAUGAAAGGAGUUGUUUGAGUAAGGGGAUUGCACCUGCUUCAGCGAUAGAUAUUCUAUUGUCCGCAUUUCUUUUUGCUAGUAAUCGGAGUUCGCCAGCAGCUGCUCUUUGCGCUUCUUGGUUUCCAUUUGCCAACUUCUGCAGUAGUAUGUUGAUCCCAUCACGACUAAUAUCAGAAUUGUUUGCUGGCUUCCUAUCUUGGUGACCACCUUGCGUUUUGGGCAGUUCGAUGCCAUUGGCAUCACACCAUUGUGCAAUUAAGCUCUUCAAAACGAAAUUUGGGGUGACAGCAGUGUGGGAUAGGUAUUGUUGCGUCUUGGGGCAGGUCUUGUGUCCACUGUCGAGCCACUUCUGGAUGUAAGAUCUUUCAUAUGUCUGCACAAAUAAUCACAUUACUAGGUUAUCAGAAAAGGUUAAAACAGAGUCCAAGUUUAUUCCCGAUUACUUGUCCUGUGGAGACGAUGACGGGAUCCUUCAUCAGCUCAAGAGAAAGUGGACACCGGAAAUCAUCUGGGAUCACCGGAGAUCUAUGCUUUGCAAAGCUAGUUUUCCUUUCAAUGCUGGCAGAAGUUGGAUCCUCCAAGAGUGAACAAUCUUUAAGCUUCUUCAGCAGUGACGACAUUUCCUCCACAGAGACAUCAGGCUCCCCAACACUUGAAAUUACCAUUUCGUGCAGAGCAACUGACUCCUUCAUAAUGUCAUUCUUAUUUUUGAGUUGAAGCUUCUCGGAUAUUCUCUUGAGGAUGGUAGGAUCACAGUGACCUUCAUUUAAUGCUCUAUUUAAAUCUCUGCUAAGUUGUAAAUCACGUAAGUCCAUACUUUCUUUAGCUCUAUGAAGCUGAGCAUGCAAUAGCUCAAUCUGCAAAUGUUAAGUAAUUAGUUCUUAUCCAUGCACAUUAAUGAAUGAAUUUUCAGAGACAGAGAACAAGAAUACUCAAUUUAUAAGGCUUUUCAUCAAUUGGAAUGCGAUGUGCCUUUUUCAUAGAAGAUGGGAAAGGAAAAGUGAUAGAAGAGGCCAACUGACCUACACAAGCAACAUGCACCAAAAUGUCCUUAACUUUUUAAGUGUCUUGUGUUCGAUACACUUAACAAAGUCUUUUGUAGAUAUAAUUUGUUUGUCGUUUGGCAUUUUUGUUGUUUUGACUAUAUUUUUCCGUUAGUGGAGCCUCGUGCAUGUGGGCCGCCCUUUUUAGUUUUCUUGUUGUUUUGUGUUUCUCUUCAAAGAAUUCUAGAGUGAGGAUAUCCAUCAUGAAUUCUAUUUUCAGUAAUAAUUAUAAAACCUAUCAACACUUACAAGGAAAAACACUUUUUACGAAUCAUAUCAUGUACCAAAGUGAUUUAAGAUGCAAACAUAUCGGAUUUGAGAUGCUAAACUGAUAUCAUAGUUCCAUCAGAGCAUAGUGAUCCUGGUAAAAAUGAUACCAAAACCAAUUAGUGUCUGAGUCACCAUAAUCAAGAUGACUUAAACAUAGUGCUUGUAAGAUUUAACACCAAUAUAACAAUUUUUUGGUAGUUUAUGUGGAAGGACAUUUAAAGAGAAAGAGAAGAUUCAAUUUAAUGAAUUGUAUUAGCAACGAGGGGAAGGAAAUCCAAGUAGCAGUCAGCAUGAAACUUAGAUUUUGCCAGUUAGCAUCCAUCAUUGACCGAAACAUCAACUCUACGACCAACAGCUUGAUUAACUACUAACUGGAGAAAAAUACAUAUUGCUAUGUCAAAUUGAUAACAUGCACUUAAGCUUAAUUCUUAUAAGAUGGAUGUCCUAAUAUAUGACCGCAUAAGCAAGUCGAUUAACAAAAUCCAGGAUUUUAUGUUUGCCCGAAAGGAUCAAGUAAGUGGUUGUUCAUCUUACCUGCUCUUUAACUUCAUCAGAUACAUUAAGCUUGUCCAAGCUAAUCUCACCGAGUGCCUCCUCAAUAGAUUCAGUUGCCUUAAGGAACAGCCGUUGAAAUUUUUGUGGCCGCAAAACCUGUCGACAACAAAUCAAGGGGAUUAAAGUGUGAUGUUGAUAAUGUUAAGAUCUAUAAGUUUGAGCCAAUAUGGUGAAGAUUAACAUAAAUGAGAUUGAAUACCCAAUUCAACCCAAAAGGCUUAAGCUUACUAAGCCGUAGGUCAAACCCAAUAUAUCUUUCCCGACUCUCUUUCAAUAGUUAGUCAUCUCCGAGACACAAAUAUUCUCUUAACAUAUAAAUGUUUUUAAAAGAAGUUGAGAAAAAAAGGAAUAAUUUAUGUCUACAAAUCAAAAGAUGUUAGAUUUCACCCAUUGAUAUCAUAAUUGGGGAUAAACCUUACAACAAAUUCAACACACUGGCAAUUGGGGUUUGGAGGCGAUUGCGGUCACCUGAUACAGCCUGCUCCCAUCGUUCACGGAUCGGAGGGUCUCCUUGGCCCCAGCGAGGGCGGCGUAGAGCGACUCGAGGCCGCGGAGCUCGGCCGGCCCGAGAGAGACGGCGUCGUCCCUCAGCUCGUCAAAAAGCGGGGCGAGGAGCUUAACCCGCCGCGCGAGGUCGCAGCACAUCUGCCGCAGCGGCCCGCGACUCUCCGGCAGAGCGGACACCUCCGCCACCACCUGUAGCAGGGUUUCCGCCACCGCGCCCCCGGCUCCGCCGCUCAUCUCCGUCUCUUUCUCCUCCUCCUCCUCCUUCUCCUGUGCUGCUGUCGGCCCCAUGUUCGACGAUAGAAGAGGAUCUCGAGAUGGAGCAAGAGCCAAGUAGAACCGCAGAAAACUAUCGAGGCAAAUGGUGGGCGGAGCGGCUGCUACAUCUCCAUGGCUGACUAUUUUGAUGCAUUCCAACCACAAUACUUUUCUUCAUCUUAUUAUCGAACAUUAGUAUCAUGUUUAUGACAAUCAUUAUGGCUAAUUUGGUAUAAAACCCACAAAAAUCAACAUCGCCUUAAGCCCACGAUCGUUGACUAACUACACAGAUCCCCUCCUGGUUGACUGAUUCGACGUCUACUGCUGACUUCAUAUACAGCGUUGCCCGUUCUGUUUGACUUUUCCGCUGAAGAUUUCAAGCUCCAGCGUGAUCUGUUUGAACCAGUUAUUCAUCGUCACAAAAAAAUCAUGGAGGAUUCACAUCGAUUACAGUAAUUGGCAUGACUAUUUGAAGUUCCGAGCCAUGGAAGAUGGAUGGCUACGGUUCUCGUACAGAUUCAGUCACAGUCACUGUGGUAGCUCUCUAAUAAUUCUCUCUAACUCGCUGGGCCGGCAGGGGAUGGCGAUGGCGCCCUCAUGCCGGAAGCCGAACUCCUCCUCCGCCAGCUCCAACAGCCUCAGGAACACCGGGUUGGAGAGGCAGCGCAGUGAGACCACGAACCUCCGGCGCUGCUCGUCCCACACCGCCACCACCGCAAACUGGCCCUCCUUCACGUCCUGCGGCACCGCCGCCGCAUCGGCCUCCUGCAGUUUCAGGCUUCGACCCGGUAGGCUGCUGCCGAGGUGAUCGCUCCUGGAGCAAGACAAGCUCCGCUGCAGCACCUUGGCCGCGCGCUUGAGGACGCCGUUGCUGCUCCCCAUGAACUUGGCCUUGGCCACGCCUGCCUUGAACAUGCUCUCCGAUGCCGGGUAUAUAAAUAGCUGCUGCGAUAGGGAGCACGAAAGCAAUGGGUCUGCUGUGUUCAUGCAUGGUUUGCUGUUCUCAGUUAACUGGCAAGAGCAGGGCCGUUUGCUGUUCCGACUAUUUGCAUAUUGUUGGGACAUUACAUUACGGCUUCUUGUCGUCGUCGUUCUCGGAAUGUAGCAAACUUGCUGCCGGAGGGAAACAGGCCUAACUUAGAUUCAAGUCAGAUCUACAAGUGUGAUGUGGACUUGUGAGUCCAUGUUUGCCACAGCCAGUAGGAUGCUAAAGCUUAUCAUGCGAUCUAAGAGGAAUCAGAGGACACUGAUCCUGUACUGGGAGUUUCUCACGAGUGAUCAUUCGUGUUCUCGGUAGAACUGCAAGGAUGAUUGAAGUAUACUGUGAUGUGAAGGUGAAAGAGAAGCGUCCAGAGGACGGAUCAUGUUGGAUUUUUAUAGAUAUAACAUGUCGUCCACAUAAACCAAACAGUGUCAUUUCUGCCUCCUUUGCUUCCUCUGUCAUCGGAUGAACGCCUUUUCCUGUUAAUUGGGUGAACGUGCAGUGAUGUGUGUCAAGAUUUAAAUUAUUAUUUAAAUAAAUUGAUUAGAUAAAAUUUUAAAUUUUUUAUUUUUAAAUAAAUUGAUUAGAUAAAAUUUUAGAGAUAAAAAUAUUUUAAUUUAAUUUAUUAUUUUAUACUUAUAAAUAUAUGAUAUCUAUAUGUAUAGAUUCAUCAAAGUCUUUAAGUGGUUACAUAUGUAGAACUCUAGUCAAAGAUUACCAAGUCAAAUAGUAAUAAUUUGUUACUACUAUGAGAAAGGAUUAUACUGUAAUUUUUGUAUUUUAAGACUUUUGUGUGAAGAAGAUAACUUUCUUUUUUACUAUGGAUUGAUCGGUAGAUUUGAUAUUAAACUUAUUAAUUAGUCUAACUAGAAGAUUUGUUUGGAACUAAUAUGUUAUAUAUACCAUUGAUCGGUGAGUCGACUCGAUUGGUUCCCAAUUGAAGGUGUAGAUGCAUCUUGAUGUCUCCUUACUGAUGUGGGGUAUUGAUGUGGCGAGCUAAAUAGAGGAAUGGAGGUCUUCCUUGCUACGAGAUCAUCGCCUGACUAUUAGUUAUCUCCUGCCCACUAGUGGUCCUGCACAACAGGUAUAUGCUUGGGGCUUCUCGACUUGAUCAUUUGGAUGCUUAAGUCAACACAAGAUAGAGAGGGGGGGCGAGAGGCGACGAGAGAGAGAGAGAGAGAGAACGGUAUAAGCUAUAUAAUAAAAUGAGUGGAGAGCCCCCCUUCUUCAGCGUAAGCUAUAAGUGGCUUUUAAUUAUACCUAGGCACUUGGUUAGGUUGACUGAUCUACGUAUUGGUUAAUCGAAGAUAAGAUCAGGUUAAUUGACAGAUCAUGAUAGCAAAAAUCUUUCUAUAUCCUCUUGUCCUCUAAUCCUAGUGAGGCGAGGGAGUUAAGGCGAGCGACUUGCCGAUGUGAUGCACUCGAAGAACUAUCGCGACUAUCGCCCUGUAGUCAAACUCCCUUCUUUUUGUAUAACCAGGGAAUGGUCUUCUCGUCCUUCAUCUGACAGGAAGGAUUAUUAAGACUGUGUCAUACUGCUAGCUAUUAAUGUGGGGCAGAUUCGGGCGUGCUCAUGACAUGGCAUCGUCAAGGAGUUGAUGACUCAAAGUCCUACUUAGGUGUCUACUUCUAUGGCGAAUGAGAUAGGAUUUUCCAUAUCAGAAAUCCUAUCUCAUUGUGGAGGAUCCAUCUGUUGUGGUUGGUGGCAAUACAACAAUAAUACCAUAUGCUUGCAUACGGAGACGCCAUAAAGAGAUAGAGGGCAUAAAAUACAAAAGCUGAACUUGCAUUAAAGAGAUCUAUCUCUCAUGAUCUCUUAGAACAUAUUAUUGGUUGCAAAUCAACUUCAGAGUUUUGGAUCAUUCUUAUUGCAUUGCUCAACAAGAAAAAUAUCACUCAGUUUUAAUAUUUGAAAAAUGAUUUUACAAAUACUAUCUAAGGUGAUCUUUUAAUUUCUUAAGUUUUUUAAAAAUUAAAAAUUCAUAUUCAAAGAUAUCAUUUUUAGAUCCAGUCUAUUUCUUAUGCAUGAUUAAAAUGUUAUAUUUUCAGUCUUUGAAAAAAAUAUAUUUCUUAUAUUAUAUCUAUUCAAUGAUGGAUUCAAUAACCAUCUUUAGUAGAGUUGAAAAAUCUUUUUGCUUCUUAGGAAUUCUUAACUCGUCAAAUAAUUAGUCUUUAUUUUAAGAGUAGAUGAAAAUGCUCUUUUUAUAAAUAAAAAAAAAGAGUACUGAUAAAGAUAAAAAAAAAUAAUGCUAACAACAAGCCAAAGUUUUCAUUGAACAAUGGAAUAAAUCAAAAGAAGAUCAAAUGUGAUAGGUGUCACAAGUUAAGCCAUAUAAAAAAAAAUAUUAUGUUAAGAUUAAAGGAGAAAAUAUUUUAAAUAAAAAAGAUUGUUUCAAUGUUACUGAUGAAAAUUGAGACAAAUGCUUUAUGAUUAAAACUACUAUAGUGGAGAUUAUGACAUUCAUCAAUUUCUAAUAUGAUUAAAUAAUUGAUUCAAGAUAUAUAAAAUUCAUAAAUCUUUGUCAAUAUACAUGUAAUAAUNNNNNNNNNNNNNNNNNNNNNNNNNNNNNNNNNNNNNNNNNNNNNNNNUCAACAUCUAACUCUUAAGUUGAUAGGAUGAGUACAAAUAAUGAUAUAUCAAUCUUGUAUGCUAGACUUGAUCAUAUAAAUAUUUUUAAAUUAAGAAUUAUGAUGUAAAAAAGUUUAGUUAAUGGUCUUUCUAAUCUUACUACUUCUAGUAAUAAUAAAGUUUGUGAAGGUUGUCAAUAUGAUAAAGCACAAAAAUAACUUUUUGAUAUAUCACUCAACAAAUUUUUAUUAGAGCUUAUUCAUUAGUGAUGUAAUAGGUCUUACUUAAACUCCAUCUUAUCUAAUUUUUCUCGUUAUAUGCUUUUUUUUAUUAUUGAUUUUAUAAGGUUUAGAAUAAGAAAUCAAAUUUUUUUUAAAUUUUAAAAGUUUAAAUUAAUAAUUAAAGAUAUUCUUAAAAUAAAAAUUAAAAUAUAACACAAAUAAUAGCAAGGAGUUCACUUCUAAUAGAUUCUUCUCUUUUUGCAAAGAACAUAUCAUCAAAAGGGAACUCACUUGUUCAAACACACCACAAUAAAAUAACAUACUAGAAUGAAAGAUUCGACGUCUCAUGGAGACGUGUAAGUAUUAGCUUCAUGCAAAAAAUUUAUUUAAAAUAUUAUAAGCAGAAAAAAUAGCAUGUACAAUUUAUGUUCAAGCUAUUAUCAUUCCAAUCAAUCUAAAGUCUCUAUAUGAGCUCAUGUUUAGUAGAACCCAAAUGUUAAAUACUUCAUAAUAUUUGUUUCUCCAUGCUAUAUUUAGUAGAACCUAAAUGUUAAAUACUAUGGUGAAAGGAAGAAAGGUUGAAAAUGUAUGAAUUCAUAAACACAUAGGUUUAUGGUAUCUCAAGAUAUUAUAUUUGAUAAAAUUUAUUUUUAUUAUCCUCCACAAGUAGUUUUUUUUUUUAAUAUCAAUCACAACAAUCCACACGUGUUAUCUGAGAAGAAGAAGGGGAAAAAAAAUAGGAGAUGACAAUUUGGAAGACCCGGCUUAUGGGCUUUUAAUUUCUUCCUAUUUAUAGAGGCUCAUAGUAAACUUUACCCUAAUAGAUCUUGCCCUAUUGGGUAUUGAAUCUCCAUCCAAUUACCCAAGCCUCUUAGAUUAGUAGGUCUCUACCUAAUAAUCUCUUAUUAGUUUUUAUUAGAUCUCAUCUAUAGGAUCUAAUAAUUCAGGGGCUUGUUGGAUAUCCAAUAAGAUAGGGGCUCCGAUGGAUAUCUUAUAUCCGAGCCUCUACUCAUCGUAACGCCUACCAUAUAUGUGUGACCCUCUAGGUCCAACAUCGAGCUGGUCAUGAGUUAUACCUAUCAAAACUCCGUCUAACUCAGUGAAUUAUUAUCUUCAUAAUAAUUCAUAAUUCACUUGACUCAUCAACUGUAGAUGUACUAGGCACUACGUUACAGUCAUCAAAUGAUACAAGGCAAUCCAAUCCUUUGGACCUCUCUGUCCUUAGUUACUGUAUACCUAUAGUCCCUUAUCCAUCUAAUAUCAUAGAGAUCAUAUACCAGGCAUGUUGCUGUCAUGUCCAUACAGUUUCUUCUCAAGUCUCGUUCUAAUCAGAUUCUCUUAAAGAACUCUUUUUCUCUUAAUCUGAAUGAUCUUGGCCAAAGAUUUGUUUGAGCACAAACACACAAGAUAUUUCUCUCAUGAUUAUAUAUUGACACUCAAUAGCCCCUGUAAGGUUAGCUGCCACUCCCAAUGAUAAACUAUACUAUAUCUAGUACUUCCAAACUUAUAAGUCUGGUAUCAAAGAAUGGAGUACUUAUGUAGGACAUCCUUAGUGUCUCAAGUCUAAGGACCAUAUAUACUAUUGAGAUGACGGAAUCGAUGUCUGACAAUGAGGUAUCAUCACCCAUCAAGUAUUCCGUAAGCAGAUUAAUUAGUGAACUCAUUCUCCAAUGAGCACCUGCACUGUAUCCCUAAUGUCCCCACACGAGCAGCUAUAAGACUAGCUGCCUCCAUCAUAUGGAUAGGUAUACAGUAUACUAGUCUCUUCGGUCAUCUCGAUGUCCCUGUCGAGUAACCUAUGAACAUAAUUAUUUAGAGUUUAUGUUUAAAAGUGAAUCGGUCUCUUUAUCGUGAUCUCAUCAUAAUCCGAUUCUCAUUGCACAGAUCUAUAGACAUCACAAUAUAUAUAUACAAUAAGAAAUAUAAAGUAAGAGAAUGUCAUAAUAAUAAUAAACAAAAAGACUACGUGUCAUGUCAUACGUGUCAUCACUCACGUGAUUGGCUUGUAGGGCACCUAUGAUUAGCAAUCUCUCACUUGACCUAAAGUCAAUCACCUACGUGUUUGAUCUUCAUCAAACCUCUGUGACGCUCAAAGACAAUCUGAAACAAUAGCUUUAUUAGUUGAUCUACAAUGUUAUCUUUAGAUGAAACUAUUUCCACUACUAUAUCUCUUCGGCCACGAUCUCUCUAAUAAGCUGGAACCUUCUCAGAACACUUCUGAUGAGACCCAAGUUCCCUCAUUUGAGCAAUUGUCUCGUGGUUGUCGCAAUAUAAGGGAAUUGACUCUUCGCUACCUGGCACGACUCCUAGAUCUGUGAUGAACUUCUUCAUCUAGACUCCCUCUUUUGCUGCCUUUGUCGUAACAAUGUACUCCGCUUUUGUGGUCAAGUCAACAUUAGUGUCUUGCUUAGAACUCUUCCAGCAUACUACUCCUUCAUUCAUGGUGAACCAUACCUUGAAUUAAACUUGCUAUCAUCAAUAUCAAACUGGAAGUUUAAGUCUAUAUAGCCCUCAACCCUAAGGCUACUUCCUCUUUAUAUCAAUAAAAGAUCUUUGGUUCUUCUCAAGUAUUUAAGGAUAUACAUUACUACUUUCUAGUGCUUCAAGCCUGAAAUAGCUUGAUAUCUGCUCGCGACACUCAAAGCAUACGUUAUAUCAAGCUUAGUAUAUAGCAUAGCAUAUAUAAUAGAUCCUAUUAUUAAGGUAUAUGGUAUCCUAUCUAUGUUUGCACUUUCUUCAAGAGUUUUGGGGACAUACUCCUAGAAAGCGAUAUCUCAUGUCUCAUUGGUAUGAUAACUCUCUUUUAAUUUUUCAUUCCAAACCUUUUUACAAUAGUGUUUAUGUACCUAGACUGGGACAAGUCAAGCAUCCUCUUAUACCUAUCUCUAUAGAUCUGAAUCCCCAAUAUGUAGAUGCUUCCCCUAAGUUCUUCAUGAAGAAGUGUCUAGAUAGUCAAAUCUUUACUAUGGAGAGUAUCCUUGUAUCAUUCCCAAUUAUUAGGAUAUCAUCCAUAUAUAACAUCAGAACAGUGAUAGCACUCUCACUCACAUUCCUAUACACACAAGACUCAUCUUCGUUUUUAAUGAAGUUAUAAGAUCUGAUCAUCUCAUCAAAUCUUAUGUUCUAACUUUGGGAAGCUUGCUUUAGUCCAUAGAUAGACCUAAGCAACCUACACACUUUAUUUGGACUAUCCUUAGAUACGAAUCUCUCACGCUGUAUUAUAUACACCUCUUCCUCGAGGUUGCCAUUGAUGAAUACAGGUUUCACAUCCAUCUAUCAGAUCUCAUAAUCAUAGUAUGCGAUAAUAUCAAAUAUAAUUCAGAUGGAUUUCAACAUAGCUACAUGUGAGAAGGUUUCGUCAUAGUCAAUACCUUGCCUUUGACAAUACUCUUUAGCCAUUAGCCUUGCUUUAUAAGUCUCACCUUUCCAUCUAUUUUGAUCUUCUUCUUGAAGAUCCACUAGCAACCAAUGGGUACAAUACCCUCGGGUGCAUCAACAAGGUUCCAAACAUACAUAAAAUCCAUCUCAGAAUUCAUGGCCUCUUAACACUUCCCGAAGUCUAUACUCAUAAUAGCCUCCUUACAUGUCUAAGGAUCAAUAUCCUCAACAUCCUCUCAUUUGAUAUGUCCUAUAUAUCUCUUAGGAGAAUGAGGUACUCUAUUGGACCUAUGUAAAAUUAAAACUUAUGUGCUAGAUAAUUAAACAAACUCUGACUGUGGAAUGAUGCUUAAGCUAGGUUCUCUAACCUUACUCAACUCUAUCACGCUCCCACUAUCUCCACCAAGAAUGUGUUCCUUCUCAAAGAACACUAAUCUCUUGGCGAUAAAGACCUUUUGGUCAUUGGGUGAUAAAAAUAAUAUCUGUUAGUUUCCUUAGGGUAUCCCAUGAAUAUGUAUCAUUUCGUCUUGGAUUCCAAUUUAUCGGAGUUGUGUCUUUUGACCUGGGCAAGACAACCCCAAAUCUUAACAACCUUAAGAUCAAACUUCUUUCCUUUUCAUAUGUCAUAUGAAGUAGACACUGUCAAUUUAGUUGGAAUUCUAUUCAGAAGGUAAGUUGUAGUCUCUAGGUCGUAUCCCCAAAAUGAGACGGGUAGGUCGACGAAACUCAUCAUAGACUGCACCAUAUCUAACAAUGUGCUAUUCCUCUUUUUGAAUACACCAUUGAGCUAGGGUGUAUAAAGAGGUGUCCACUAGGACAUAAUCCCAUAGUCCUUGAGGAAUUGGGUGAACUUUGUACGAUGAAAGAGUUUUGAUACUCUUUCUAAUCUGAUUCUCAACUUUAUUUUUAUACUUUCUGAAUUUAUCAAAAACCUCAUACUUGUAUUUCAUCAAGUACAUAUGUCCAAACCUUGAGAAAUCGUCAAUAAAAAUAACGAAGGAGUAAUCACCUAUGACAUAAGUUGACAUAUGACCACACACAUCACUAUGUAUGAGUUCCAACAACUCAGUGGCUCUCUUUCUAAUUCCACUAAAUGGAGAGUUGGUCAUUUUUCUACGAAGGCAAGGCUCACAAGUUGUAUAUGACUCAUAGUCGAAUAGAUCUAGGUAUCCAUCAUUUAGUAACUUUGAAUCAUUCUCUCAUGGAUAUGACCUAUCUUACAAUGCCACAGAUAUGCAUCGUUCACCUCAUCUUAUUUCCUCUUAGACUCACUUACAUUCAUAAUAUGUGAAGUAGUGUCUAGCAUAAACAAAACAUUACGCAAUGUUCCUUUCAUGAUGAUCGUAUCAUCUAAUAAUAUUGAACAACCAUUGUUCUCAAAAACUAAUUUAUAUCCACUAACUAUCAAACAUGAAAUGAAAAUAAUGUUUUUGAUAAUAGAAAGAACAAAAUAACAUGCAUUCAAUGCAAUAAUAGCUCCACCAGGCAGAUGUAAGGUAACCCUAUCGAUAACAACAACAGCAACUCUUACUCUAUUGCCCAUCUUGAGGUUCAUCUUACCUCUUGUCAAUAUCCUAGGUCUUGUUAGAACUUGCAAUGAAUUACAAUGUGAUAAACACUUUUGGUAUCUAAUACCUAUGUGUUAUCAUAAGAAUAUAACAAAUAGAGACCGAUCAUGAAUAUACUUGAAGCUUCUCCAAACUUCUAUUUCACCCUCUCUGCAAGGUACUAUUUGCAGUUCCUCUUAUAGUGCAUAUCUUUGCCUAGUAGAAGUACUGGCCUUUGUUUUUUGUCGGGUCUUUCUUAGCAACCUUUGCUUUACCCGAUCUGCCCUUGACCUUGCCUUUCUUAAGAGACUUAUCUGCCUUCAUUUUCUUUUUGGUUUUACUAGCAUAAAGAACUAGCUUCUCUACUCUCAGCCUCUCUCAACAUAUUGAAGAAUUCAGGGAGAGUCACCUCAAGUUGAGAAACAGAAUAUUAUAGGGAUUAAAGUAUAAUGUUUAUACAUAGGUCAUCUUCUAGGACCAUUCAUAGACAUGUGAGUUUCUCUAUCAACUCAAUCAUCUUUAGGACAUGGUUCUGAACCGGUGUCCUCUUAGUCAUCCUGACACGGAAGAGACUCUUGGAUAUCUCAUAUCGUUGAGUCCUUCCCUGUUCCUCAAAUAAGUUACAGAGAUAUAGGAGAAUAGAUCUAGCAUCCAUCUUUUAUGUUGUCUUUGUAACUCAAAAGUCAUGGGGCCCAACAUAUAACACUGAGCAAGAGUGGAGUCAUCUAUGUACUUCAUAUAGCAAACAAUCUCAUCAUCGCUUGCCUCUUCCUCGGGCAUAGACAUCACUAUAUCAAGGACGUACGUGAUUUUCUUCAUCGUGAGAAUGAUUCUCAAAUUGCGAAGCCAAUCGGUAUAAUUUAGACCAUUGAGGCAGUUGACAUCAAGUAUGCCAUGUAAGAGAUUCGAAAGCGACAUAAAUAUGAAAAUAAAGAUGUAGUAGAAAUAAAUAACAAGUAAAUUUUAUAAAAAUAAAUAAUUAAGAUUAGGAUUUCUAUCUUAAUUUACUCAUAUUUUCUCGCUAAUCACACAACUCCCUCCGGUAUGUGAAUCAGAGGCUCCCGGUAGAUCUCUAGUGGGGAUCAGAAUUCAAUCGACGUCUUAACGUAACAUCGAGUGACUCGACCAAUUAUGCUAAGCCCGUAAAGGUAAGCAACUCUUUCUAAUCACAACUCCUUGUUAUCUCAUCUUGUUCGGCCUUCGAACCACCAUGGCCUCGAGUGACUCGACCAACCAUGGUGUUCCGUUAAGUCAUCACCAUCGUUACAAGAUGAGUCUGAUUCUAUAAUAUGCCAUCGAAUGACUCGACCAAGCAUACCAUAUCCUCAAGUCACCGGUGACAACAACUCUAUGUCGUAGGCAAAAUAGCGAAUCAUGAUAUAGAUGAGCCUCGAGUGACUCAACCAACUCAACCUACGUCUUGAAUUGGUCCCUACCUAUAAUGAUGGAAGGCCAUGUGGGUUAAUCUAAUUGCCUCACGUUCAUCGACUUAAUAUUAUUGAGAAAGAAGAUUUUUUAUUUGGUCUCCUAAUAUAUAUAUAUAUAUAAUAUUUACAUCGCAUGUAAAUAUAUAUACAUAUAUCUAGUAGGAUGAAGUAAACUGUGAUGUGAAGAUGAAAGAAAAGCGUCCAGGGGACGGAUCAUGUUGGAUUUUUAUAGAUACAACAUGUCGUCCACAUAAACCAAACAAUGUCAUUUCUACCUCUGUUUCCUCUGUCAUCGAAUGAACGCCUUUUCCUGUUAAUUGGGUGAACGUGCAGUGAUGUGUGUCAAGAUUUAAAUUAUUAUUUAAAUAAAUUGAUUAGAUAAAAUUUUAAUUUUUUUAUUUUUAAAUAAAUUUAUUAGACAAAAUUUUAGAGAUAAAAUUAUUUUAAUUUAAUUUAUUAUUUUAUACUUAUAAAUAUAUGAUAUCUAUAUGUAUAGAUUCAUCAAAGUCUUAAGUGCUUACAUUUGUAGAACUCUAGUCAAAGAUUACCAAGUCAAAUAGUAGUAAUUUGUUACUACUAUUUGAGAAAGGAUUAUACUUGCAUGUAAUUUUUGUAUUUUAAGACUUUUGUGUGAAGUAGAUAACUUUCUUUUUUACUAUGGAUUGAUCGGUAGAUUUGAUAUUAAACUUAUUAAUUAGUCUAACUAGAAGAUUUGUUUGGAACUAAUAUGUUAUGUAUACCAUCGAUUGGUGAGUCGGCUCGAUUGGUUCACUAUUGAAGGUGUAGAUGCAUCUUGAUGUCUUCUUACUGAUGUGGGGUAUUGACGUGGCGAGCCAAGUAGAGGAAUGAGGGUCUUCCUUGCUACGGGAUCAUCUCUUGACUAUCAGUUAUCUCUUGCCCACUAAUGGUCCUGCACCACAGGUAUGUGCUAGGGGCUUCUCGACUCGAUCAUUCUGAUGCUUAAGUUAACACAAGAUAGAGCGGGAGGGGGGGGGGGGGGGGGGGGUGACGAGAGAGAGAGAGAGAGAGAUUGGUAUAAGCUAUAUAAUGAAAUGAGUGUAGAGCCCCCCUUCUUCAGCGUAAGCUAUAAGUGGCUUUUAUACCUAGGCACUUGGUUAGGCCGACUGACCUUCGUAUUGGUUGAUCGAAGAUAAGAUCAAGUUAAUUGACAGAUCAUGACAACAAAAAUCUUUCUAUAUCCUCUUGUCCUCUAAUCCUAGUGAGGCGAGGGAGUUAAGGCGGGCGACUUGCCGAUGUGAUGUGCUCGAGGAACUAUCGCGACUAUUGCCCUAUGGUCAGACACCAUUCUUUUUGUAUAACCAGGGAAUGGUCUUCUCGUCCUUCAUCUGACAGGAAGGAUUAUUAAGACCGUGUCAUGCUGCUAGCCAUUAAUGUGGUGUUUGCUUCUAUGGCGGAUGAACUAGAAUGAGAUAGGAUUAUCCAUAUCAGAAAUCCUAUCUCAUAGUAGAAGAUCCAUCUAUUGUGGUUGGUAGUAAUACAACAAUAAUACCAUAUGCUGCAUAUGAAGACGCCAUAAAGAGAUAGAGGGCAUAAAAUACAAAAGCUGAACUUGCAUUAAAGAGAUCUAUCUCUCAUGAUCUCUUAGAACAUAUUAUUGGUUGCAAAUCAACUUCAGAGUUUUGGAUCAUUCUUGUUGCAUUGCUCAACAAUAAGAAUAUGACUCAGUUUUAAUAUUUGAAAAAUGAUUUUACAAAUACUAUCUAAAGUGAUCUUUUAAUUUCUUAAGUUUUUUAAAAAUUAAAAAUUCAUAUUCAAAGAUAUCAUUUUUAGAUCCAGUCUAUUUCUUAUGCAUGAUUAAAAUGUUAUAUUUUCAUAGUCUUUGAAAAAAAUAUAUUUCUUAUAUUAUAUCUAUUCAAUGAUGGAUUCAAUAACCAUCCUUACUAGAGUUGAAAAAUCUUUUUGCUUCUUAGGAAUUCUUAACUCGUAAAAUAAUUAGUCUUUAUUUUAAGAGUAGAUGAAAAUGCUCUUUUUAUAAAUAAAAAAAAGAGAGUACUGAUAAAGAUAAAAAAAAAUAAUGCUAACAACAAGCCAAAGUCUUCAUUGAACAAUGGUAUAAAUCAAAAGAAGAUUAAAUGUGAUAGGUGUCACAAGUUAAGCCAUAUCAAAAAAAAUAUAUUAUGUUAAUAUUAAAAGAGAAAAUAUUUUAAAUAAAGAAGAUUGUUUCAAUGUUACUGAUGAAAAUUGAGACAAAUGCUUUAUGACUAAAACUACUAUAGUGGAGAUUAUGACAUUCAUCAAUUUCUAAUAUGAUUAAAUAGUUGAUUCAAGAUAUGGUUAUCAUCUCACUGAUGAUGAUAUAAAAUUCAUAAAUCUUUGUCAAUAUACAUGUAAUAAUNNNNNNNNNNNNNNNNNNNNUCAACAUCUAACUCUUAAGUUGAUAGGAUGAGUACAAAUAAUGAUAUAUCAAUCUCGCAUGCUAGACUUGAUCAUAUAAAUAUUUUUAAAUUAAGAAUUAUGAUGUAGAAAAGUUUAGUUAAUGGUCUUUCUAAUCUUACUACUUUUAGUAAUAAUAAAGUUUAUGAAGGUUGUUAAUACGAUAAAGCACAAAAAUAACUUUUUGAUAUAUCACUCAACAAAUUUUUAUUAGAGCUUAUUCAUUAGUGAUGUAAUAGGUCUUACUCAAACUCCAUCUUAUCUAAUUUUUCUCAUUAUAUGCUUUUUUUUAUUAUUGAUUUUAUAAGGUUUACUUGCGUCUACUCUGUGAAUAAGAAAUCAAUUUUUUUUUUUAAUUUUAAAAGUUUAAAUUAAUAAUUAAAGAUAUUCUUAAAAUAAAAAUUAAAAGAUAACACAGAUAAUAGUAAGGAGUUCACUUCUAAUAGAUUUUUCUCUUUUUGCAAAGAACAUGACUCACUUGUUCAAACACACCACAAUAAAAUAACAUAAUAGAAUGAAAGAUUCAGACAUCUCAUGGAGACGUGUAAGUGUUAGCUUCAUGCAAAGAAUAUCACAUAUUCAUACAACAUGCCGAAAGCUUUAUAAAUGUAUUAGAUAUUUAAUUGAUUUGUCAAGGUCUUAAUUGAAGCCAUUCUAGGUUAAUUUAAGCUAGUAUUGGGUUGAAACAAAGCCCACUUAUCAAAGGGUUUGAAGUCGAGCCAAAUUGAACUUGUUAGAAGACCUGGGUAGUGGUACCAUCAAGCCCAAGUGGUAGUACCGUCUGAGUUAACCAAUAAGCAUUAUUUAUGUUUUGUUAGCCUUUUCAAUGAUGGUAUCAUCUAUAGUGAUGGUAGUCCUAUCCAGAAUUUAAAUUUUACGAUGGUAGUACCACUAAAGUUUAGAUUUACAAUGUCAAAAGUUAUGAUAAUAGUAAUGCUUAAUAGGUGGUAUCACUCGUAUCCUAAAAUUUUGAGAUUUAAAUUUUUAGCUCUAUUUUUGAAGCUUUUUGAGGUCUAUAAAUACCUCAAUCAGGCUUGGUUGAUGGAAUAUCCAUUUUUGAGCUAGUAAACUAUUAUAAGCUUAAUUUGGAGCAUAAUUUAAGUUUUCUCCUUUUGAUUUUAGUUGAAAUUCUAAGUUGUAAGAUGUGAGAAAUCUCUUGUAAAAAGAGAGUGUGAAUGUGAAUGUUAUCUUUUAAGUUUGAAAAAAGAAAGAGUUGUAACAAGGAUGAUUGAUCUUUGUUUACUGGAAAGAGGAAUAAAAAAUAAAGGUAAAUUGAGAAGACUGAACUACUAUAAAUUAGUUUGCCCCUCUUUACUUGUAAUUUUAACUUGAACUAUCGAGUUUCCAAAACGUAUUGAUUUAUCAAUUGAGUAUUAAAAUUGAUUAAAAAUACUAUUAUACUAAGAGAUAUAUUUUUAUUUUUAAACCAAAUUAUGUUUGCAUAGUCAAGAAGACCCUCUACAAGGUAAAGCAAGUUUUUCUCAAUAUUUAUAUUUUAAUGAUUUUUUUAUUCAGAUUCUAGUUUAUUUAUUAAAAAGUAAGGAAGCUUAUACAUUAUUGGUCUUUGUACGUGGAUGAUAUAAUCAUCAUCGAUAAUGAUAAAAUAAAUAUUCUUCUCUCUAAUUUGAAAUAAAAAUAUUGAGAGAGCUUAAUAUAUUUUUCUUGGUCUAGAGGUGAUGAAUAUAAAAGAAGGUAUAUUUAUCUCUCAGAUAAGCUAUGAUUAUGCAGAUAUUUGAUCUGAGAUGAUUUGGAUAAUUAUAGGUAUAAUAAGAAAUAACAAUUGAUCUCUCUUUUUAUAAUCGAAACAAAAUACAAGACUUUCUCACUUAUUGCUUAAGAAUGUAAAUGGUUAAAAUAUUUGAUUAAGAAUGCUUACUAUUAAAUUAAUAAACUAACUAUUUUACAGUAUAAUAACCAAAGUACCUUAAAAUUAAUUAUAAAUUUAAUUUAUUAUACAAGAAUCAAGCAUUUUAGAAUUGAACAUCAUUUCAUUCGAGAAAAUAUACUUCAAGGAGUCAUUAAAGCUAAUAUCACAAAUAUCUUUACAAAAUCUCUUUCCAAAAAAUCAUUCGAAGAUUUUCAAAGUAAAUUGAGACUUAUCUCAAAAGAAUACUUUAAAGGAGAGUGAUAAGAUUUAAAAUAUUAUUUUUGAAGGAUUUUAAAGUUCUUAUCUUUUAUCUUUUAAAUAAGCUGAUUAAAUAAAGUUUUAGAGAUAAAGAUCUCUUAAUUUAAAUUGUUAUUCUAUACCUAUAAAUAAAUGACAAAUACAUGUAGAUUCAUCCAAAUUUUAAGUGGCCAGAUCUACAGAGCUCUAAGUUAAAGAAUAGUUCAAGAUUGUAUAAGUAUUUUUUAAUUUAAUAUAAUAUUUUUUUACUUCUGUCUUGAUUUUUUUCUAUUUAGUUUGAUCUUAGGUUACUACUACCUUAUUACUAUUAUUUGAAAAAAAGAUUACACUUAUAUGUGAUUUCUUUCUUUUUUUUUUCACAAUAUGAUACCCAAGAUAUUUAUCUAUUAUAUAUAUAUAUCAGAUUAAGCUACCAGAAGCUGGAAUAUUGCUUUAAGUGCAGCUGAAAACAUGCAACAAAGGUUCAUUGCAUGACAGCUAAAACAUCAUUCCCUCUGCUUUAGGAUCAGAAUGCAUGAAGAUGUUGAGUUGGAGCACUGGCAGGGAGGAGUUGGUACCCAUGAGUAGUGCAAUGCACUCUUGCAGUGCACAUGGAUCGCAUGUUGGCGAGCUAUCUGACGACAGCGAUCAAGCUCGUAAGCUGUUGCUGACUGUGACACUCGCUAUCUUUCUCUAGACCAUUAAAGAUCACAGUCAAUUUUCGAAUCCAUCAUAGAUUCUCGACCGAAAAUUAAAGAUAUAUACAUACUAAACUCUUAUAAAUCCAUUCAAAUCUUCUUUUGAUUGCAUGGACAUGGAAUUAAACUUGAGGUAUUAUAUUAAAUUAUUAUUUUUAUUAAUAAUAAGAGGUCUAAGUUGGUUCAAUACAUACAAGUCGAGGCUGAUCUAUGUGCAUACCCGAGUACACAUAUUUCUAUCAUAAUUAUUCUAUUUUUCUUUUGGAUAAUUUUAUAAUUCAACGAAUUGUUAUAAAAAAUUAACCCAAUAAUUUUAGUAAAACUUUGGAUUAGAUAGCUUUUUUAUAACACUUAUUAACUAUAAAAAAAAAAAUUAUGUCUUCGAGAGAUCCCAAUUAAUCUCACAUCGAAAGGUAAGAGUACUCACAUGCACCAUUUCCGAUGUGAGGUUUGUGGAUCACGAUCAGCCCUUUCGGUAGUGCUUUCGGGUUUGGUUGCAUGGCUGCCAAACACCUCCCAUGGCCACAAACCUUUGCUUUCGAUGUCCCUUCCUCAGGGAACACGCCGGUGCAAGGAUCUAAUACCUAAUGCUACUUCCACCACCCAUGAUCUCCACAUGUCAACAUCGUUAAUUUGCCGCGCCAUGGCCGGUCUUCCCAUCCACCUUCAUCUCCUUCUCCCUCCCUCCGUUGCUUCUUCCAUGAUCCUCUUGUAGAACUCACGGUCGAGGUUUUACCGAUCAUCGGGGACUAAAACCCACAUCAGCUCAUCUUGCACGGAUCGAUCCCAGCCAUGCCGAUGUCUCCAUCUCUUGUUUCGGUGUCGGUAUCAGCUCAGAUGACGGUGCGAAGCUUGUCGCUGCUCCCACGUUCCCAUGCACAUGCAAAGCCUGAUCACGAGCAGGGGGACAUCUGAGAAUCUGAUCACUGCGUUGAGAUAAUUGUGCCGUAGCGUUCGUGGUUGUACUCGGGGCCUAACUCUGCUCUCCGUUUUAUUUCCUUUCAUGAAUCGACAGGAGAGGAAACAGUAACCGGUGCAGAGAGAACCCGUCGGUUGAUCAGUUCAUCUGAUCUGAGGAAGUCAUCACUGGCGCAUGACCCAUCCAAGCUUCACUGUCAUUGGUUGGUCAACCUCGAUGAACAUGAGAUGGGGCCGAGAUCAAGGGAGGUUUCAUGGGAUUUUUUGUGGUGUGAUUGUCGACACACCUACUGCUUUUACUCUCUUCCUCUUUAUUAUCUCCUCUUCUGCAUAGUAGAGAAGUCACGGACAGCAGAUUAACGUACGUACUGCUGGUUUCAUUUGUUGGUCAGUCACCUGCAGCCAAUGUUAAAGGCCUUAAUCUGUUUAAGAUGACCCAUUGGGUUCAGUGCAGGUUGAGCCUAUCCACUCCUCCUUGCUUGCUCUCAAAAACUCUCAGUGAUUGCAAGGCCCACAGCUGAGAUAAAAGACUGACCUCUCUUUCAAGGAUUAUGUACGCUCUCAUCUCAUCUACCAAUACUUCUUCCUUAUUUGAGGAACUCAUCUUAGUUUUAAAGUUCGUGUAACUAAAUCAUCAUUCUCUCAGUUUCUCAUAAUCUUUUGUGGAUUUCUUAGGUUCUCUCUUGGGUAUUUUUUUUGCUGAUCUUGUUUUUUGGAGACUCUCAAAGGAGCUUUUGGAGAAAAGAUUAAUGGAGUAGUGCUUCGAUUUCACUUGCGAGAGGUCUGAAAUGGUUUGCAGGAGUCACAAAGAGAACUAUAAUCACAAUAUACAAAGGGUGCCGUAGAGAUGUUCUCAUGCAUAUGCUUAUGUUCAGGAGCUGAGUCGCUUCGAUGAAGCAUGCAUGUAUGAAUUCAUAGACAUAAGUACCAAUUUUUGACAGGCAUAAAUGUUGGAUUUGAAGCUUGAAAUUUAGGAUUAUAGAUACUAUUUCACCCAGUUUCUUCUAGGUUAGUCCAUUUCAGAUUUGCCUCAUUCCUUAGGCCAUAAAAUGUGCAUAAACACAUGGUAAUUUGUCCAUGAAAGCAUUCAUAUCUUUGCUACGAUCACACCAAAUGCACGAGUAAAGCAUCUCCUCUAUGCUGACCAACUACGAGCCUUUAAUGCAUAAUAGUUUUGAUCGAGCAUCAUAGUACAACAUUAACAUCAGCAGCAAUAACAACAAAUCAUCAACCCCAAUAGUUUGAUAUUUCACUGAGAUUGGUUGUGAGCUAUAUCAACUAUUACAAAUACGGAGGUAUACUGUUCGAUCGUGGAAAGAGGGAGGUAUACAUGUGUUCGGCCUUUAAUACACUACAUGAUUGUUUUGUCUGCUAAAAUGGAGGAGGAGAUCAAAUAAAAUUACCAGACAAAUCUCUGCAUCAUCAUCAUGUAUAGGUCCACUUCAGAAACAACUAGCAAUAUGUACCUUCUGCGAGGACCACCUGCAUGAGUGAUUGAUGAUGGAAUUGUGCCCUCUUUUUUCUCUUUCUUGAGAUGAAAAGCAGCUCUUUGAGUACAUUCGUCAAAGCUGAAGAGGAAGUCACUGGAACUGUCAUGGAGUUGGAGCUUUCGAGGUGUUUGCCUCUUCAGAUGAUUCCUGUACAUGUGUGCUUCGAAUGAUGCUUCAUCUUUCUAUCUAAAUGGGGGAUUCUCCAUUUGCUUUCUUCCGUGUCACAUAACAUCGCCCAUCUCAACCAGAAUGUGACGUUGAGAAGAUAUUUGCUGGUAGUCUAAGAAGAACACUAUAGAAGAAAGUAUUACUGAAAGGAAAUUGCAACACAAAAGUACAAAAGAGACUGAAACCAUCUAAGACAGCUUUUGUAAUAAUCAUUUUGCUAUGUAAUAUUGGAUAGCUUACCAUUCUUCAUCUCAAAACACAGAUGUUUAACACCUAACCGUAGAGAAGAAAGAGGAAGAUACGGAUAUCGCAGUUCUUCGCUUUCUCCAUGCUUCGAAUAAUCGUCAAGCUCGGCUCUUUGGCUGGUUUUUCGAAGAAGGAAUAUUGGCACAUAGGAAGAUGAUCGUAUGUCCAUACUCACAACCAUCUGUUGGUGUAUUCUGAGAAGAAGAAAUAACAUCAACCUCUUUGAGAAGGCUCACAAAUGAGCUAAGUAUAGUGGUGCAUGAUGUUCUUCUCCAUUUUGAUUCCUUAAUUUGGUCAGGAGCAAUUGUUUGUACACACAAUCCUUGUCAUGAUUCUGGUCGCUUAGCUUUAACUAAUGACACGUUCUUCGUCCAUCAUCAACAUAAACUAAUAGGGUUUCUUCCAUUUUAGGAGAAGAAAAAGGAAAGGAAAAAUACUCCUUAUCAAGAAAACCAAACAUCAUUCUUCCUUAAUGAACACCAUAUUAUCUGACAUGGUAAUCACAGUCCUCAAGAGUAUAAAAGCUUAAUUAGCUAUGGACAAACAAAAGGUAAAGAUAAAGCGAACAUGAGAUUACAAGCAAGGGCAGGAGAAUUGUGUAUCGAGUGGCCACCUUCAAAGGAAAAGGAAUCCAUACCUUGUGAAAGCAUAAUUGAUUGGUAUCACUUCUUGGAAUCUGAAAGCUGAUAAAGAUCUAUCUACUUGAGUGACAAUAACUUAGACUUAAAGGCUUGCUUACUACCCUGCAAACAAUCAACUAAAGGUAUGGAAGGUAAAAGAAGUCGGGAAAUCCAUCUAUAAGAACAAAAGCGGCAGCAAGAAACUUGACCUCUGAGGAGAUGAUGACUUGAUGGUGGUGGCAUGUGUUGUUUAGCCGCUUAUUUGCCGAUGCAGCAUCAUCAAGAUUCUCAUCGACGACGAGGACGGCGGGGCAUCCGGUCGGUGUGAAUCUUGAUGAUGCCACAGCUGCAAACACCGACUUCUGUUCCCACGGAGACGGAGUGUAACGGGAGAAGAGAGCUUGAGGCGAGUGAGUCGGAGGAGAGGAGAUGGCAAGCAACAGGAAUAAGAAGAUAGGAGCACUGCAAGGGGGGAGGUACUGUUGGAACGAACCCACAGGCCGAGCGACACCGGUGGCUGGAUCGAGCCUGGAAAGACGGUGGAUUUAUGGACCCACGAGAGGAAUCUCGCAGUCUCCUGCAGUAGUACUCUUUUUAGUUGUAUCGAGGCAAUACCAACAGCAAAUCCUUUCCCAGCACCCAACGGAAUCAAAGGGCAGGCGAAACGAAGCAAGUCCCCGAUCGAUCCUCAUGCACCUCAUCCCUUUCCCCACCAUGAGAGAGAGAGAGAGAGAGAGAGAGAGAGAGAGAGAGAGAAGAAGAAGAAGAAGAGUGAGGUGUUACGGUGAUUGCUGCCGCUACUGAGACCUAAUAAAGCUCCCACGCAAGAUCUGACACGUUUCGACCUUACGAACCAUGGCUUGGGAUCUCAAAGGAAAGAAAGAGACGGGCGAAGGGUAGAGAGAGGGAAGGAGAAGGACGCUGUGGAUCACUGUUAUUCUACUUGUCAAGACAUGCAUCUUCUCUGCUCAUCUGCGGUGCCUUCUUCGAGCAAUAUGAUCCACGUAUUUAGAGCUUUGGUGUGUCAUAUCAUGUCAUGAACACAGUCACAUACAGGUCAUACGACCAAUCCCCCUCUUCAUUAAUCUAGCAAAAAAUCGUUAGGACUUCUUUUGGUGGGCUUCGUCGUGAAAUGAACGUCUCAGCUCCUCCAGUUGUGGUGGCGGUGGUGCAUUAGCGGGUCACACACAUUGCUUUUAUUGUGGGCAACUACCUCGUACGAUAACAGGUUUGGUUUGGGGGACCAGCAUCCAUCGUUAUACCAUCAUCGUCUUCUUCUUCUUCUUCUUCUUCUUCCCUGGUUUAAUGUCCUGAUCGUAUAUAUAAAUGUUGAGGAAAUACGAUGACGGAUCUUGCGAAGUUUAUUGGAUCUAGGAAAUAUACGUAGCAGAUAGAUGUACACACCAUGUACGUACAGAAAAACUCGCCCCUGGUUUCACGAGAUUCCAUCCAGGAAGUGCUAAGAGGAACGUGACAUGAGGAAACAAACGCAAUAUUCCUUUGUUGUUUCCCAAAGUGUAAUUGACACACUGACCACAACAAUUGAUCCCAAAUAGGCACAUGGAGACAGCCCCAUAUGCUCGAUUAUAACUCAGAGAAAGUACAUGAUUAGCCAUUAUUUUUAGAGGCUAACCAUGUGAUUUGCCAUGCUUACAAGGCAAGGGGGGAAUUCGUGGUUUGGUUGGAGUUAUUUGUGGAGGAACCACGAGAAGGGAAUCGAGAUGCCCUUCUUCGAAAGCCACAAGCACUUGAAUGUGUAUGAGGGACAAUGCAUGGCCUCUAUCAAUGGUAUCGUUCAAAGGUUAGGUGUCAUGUGGCUUUCCCUUGAACGUGCACAUCACUUGGGAAUUUAAUUUGUACCUUCGAUUUAUGCAUGACUUGUCAAUAAAAAUUUUAACUCUGAUAAUGUAGCAAUGAUGGCAUGGUAUCAAGUUUGAGACUUCCUCUGCAAAAAGAAGUAGAAAAUCUUCUGCUCUGCAAAGAUAUUUCCAUCAUUAUCAUCAUCAUUAUUCAAUCCAUAUAUUAGGGUCUCCAUCAUCAUCAUCAUCAUUCAACCCACAACUGCCAAAGCAAAAGCAAAACACAAGAAAACCUAGAAAAACCGAAUAGAAGAUAUUACAGAUAUCAGUCUUCUAGGAGAGCCAUGGCAAUUACUACAAGGGGAAAAAAGUGACAGUACAAAUUCUUUAGCGGAGCCGAUGUCGCUGCUAAAAUUACUGAGCCAUUACAGUGCUCUCUGGUGUCCUACCGCAGGAAUGCUUUGCAUCGGGCUUUCAAAACACAUGGAGUCACUCAAGGAACGCCUCCUCACUCUUAUGUCACUAGUGCUCGAGUUCCUCUGGGGAAGCAGGGUAUCGGAGUAAGGAGGUCCGACAAACAGCUCACUCAUCUUGAAAAAGAGCUCAAGAUUGUGCUGGUAUUUGUUUGCCAUGACACCGUCUCCAUCAUCUGUUGCCAUCUUGCUGUCUGCUAUUUUCUUCAAGUUGGUUGACUCAUCAUCGUCGGACCAAUAAUAAUUAUCAAGGCCAUCUCGCAUGGCCAAGUCAUCAAACUCGUCAUCCGACUUGGUAGAGUCUUCCUCCACCGAGCCUUCAAUCUGAAAAUCAGUCAUAAAGCGGAGAUAGCUACUCACCAUCCUUCUUUAGCUUAGAAAAAUGAUUAACGCAAUGUUGUUUCAAUGGAGUAUCCAAAAUGCCCUGAUCAGUUCUUUAUAAAGACAGUCGAGUAUAGCUUUUUUUUUUUCUUUUGGCAUUUGGAAAGAAAAUCGUCAAAUUUGGUAGAGAUACUUAUAGUGCCUAAUGCACUUUACCUCGACCCGCUUGUUGACGCCAUCAAAAUAUCUAUGUCAUAAUUUUAAAAUAAUAAAAAGUUUUUAGGCUAAUAAGACCAGAAAAGGUCUAGUUUGUACCUCCUCAUGGAUCUCCUUGUGGUCUAUAUCACUAAAAUCCUCAUCACUAUCACCAUCAUGUGGAUCAUCAGCUUCUUCGUCACUACCCGCUACAAAAAAUUCCUCCUUAAGCUACAAAGAUUAGAGGAAAUUGGUCAGAAAUGCAAGAGGAUGAAGCAUGUAUUGAUCCCAUGGUAAAGGAAAAAAUAAUGCAACAUAUACAUCUAGUGGACUGCCUUUGUCAGUUGUGAACGAGUAAUAGGAAGUAAGCCAACAAUUAGACUUUUUUAGAGCAGAAAUCACGCAGGCCAACAAUUGCAGUUAUAAACGAGUACAUUACAUCUUGCAUACAUAUUUUGGUGAACCAGGUUCCUGCAUCCAUUGAGAGCAUUUCUUUCUCAAAUGUAACUGUAACGUUAAUGGCGAGCUUCAAACAAGGAUAGGCUUAUGAUGGAUAGCUAGGAAAUUUCAUUUGACCAGGAAUUUUAUCUAUCUAUUAGAAGCAUGUGGAUCCAUUGGUUUACUCAGAAAAGUGGUUCAGAGUCUUCAGACAACAACAAAACAAUGACCACCAUCUGCUGAAUUUCACCACUAAUUAACUCAAUAACUAAACAAAACAAAUGUAUUCUGGCAGUGACCUCAUCAGUCUCCCUCAUAAUGAUAACUACUGGAUGCGGGGCUCAUGUUUCUGUUAGACAUUUAGCCAUCAAGAUGUUGGAAUGCAAGUUGAAUUUCACUAACCUGAACAAAAAAACUUAUGCCAAUCAGUCAACAGUAUCAAGUGCUGCUGAACAAGCCUAGAAAGUAAAUUUCUUCCUCAUGGGGAUAAGAUUGUAGCAAGCAGAAAAGUCAAAUUGAAAUUCAGGGAGGACCAACCCUCUGAAGUCCUAGAUUUGAUGAUGAACAAACGUACAAAGAAGUUGAACAUUAUGUACAAACCAAAGCAUAAUGCUGAUAGCAUAAUCCAAAACCAGAAAAAAUUCCCGUGAACAGACUUAUAUAGUAAGCAAAUCUGUGAGGAAUUCAUAAGGUAAACUGCACCUAAUAAUUUUCAAUUUAGGCUUCAAAGUUCAUCAUCAUCAGUAAAUUUAGCUGAACUAGAAAUCUAGAAUAGAAAUUAAAGAAAAAAGAAUAACAUCAUGAUGCAAAGGGGAUUGAAUGGAAGUUGCAGUUAUGGAAAAUAGCAUGCCACUUGAAUAAUCAAAAUAGUACAUAAAUAUUAGCAACAUCACACGCAUGAUCAACUGCUAGAUACAGCUCAUUUCAAGCAAUGCACUAAGAUGUCAGCUGAAGUCAUUUACCUCUUUGGCAGGUCCAUCUGAUGCUUUUGGAGAGCUACAACAUGAAGAAACGUAUCUACUACCAGUGUCAGUGCCAUCAGCUCUUGAGCCAUCGAUGCUCCCUGUUUGACUUGUACCACAUGUCUCACGUGGCCAUGCACUGAUUCCAAAAUUUCCAAACUGAAGGUUAACUGGCUCAGCCUUCCCAAUUUGUAAGGGGCCAUACAUGGGGCUUCCCACACACUUUUCGUUCCAAUUUUCAGACGAUGGCUUCCCAGUAUAAUCAACAAACGGAACAGGCCAAGCCUUGGCAACAGAUCCAUCUAUGUUCAGAAGUGCCAUAAGAUGCCUUGAGGAACCCUUCCUCUGGAUCAACUGAAGCAUUCCCUUGGAGCUAAGAGAAUUUGCAGCACGCUGGUUUCUGUACUCUUCAAGUAUCACGGCAACUGUAUUUGUAGCUGGGUCAUAGAACUGCUCUCCUGCCUCUCGCCUACGUAGACAACCAAAAACUGUGGCAUGGAUAGAUGCCACACUUCGGUCAACAUUUGUAUUGUUUAUUUUUGGAACCAGAUGCUUAUCAGCCCUGUUACAGAGAUACUCCUGGAUUUUUCUGAUAUUUCGUAUGUAUUUUACAUACUUAUUUUUUGCUGGGUCCAAUGUCAUGUAUUUGGCACGCACAGAAAAUCUUUCCAUGUGUUUGUCUUCAUUUGUUAUGUAAAUCAUGAAGGGUAUUAUUGAAGGAUGCUUCUUCAUGAGCCCCAUCUAACAAAUGAAAACAGCAUAAGAUAUCAGUUAGAAAUCAACUUUACAGAAAACUUGUAGUCUGUGACAGAGUGAAAACAUCUAUGGCCAUUGAAAAUUGUCUGACAAACCUUUAGAGAAAUCCAAAUGCAGAUGCAACUAAGAUUGAACUGGAAAAUUGCAUUUUAAGAAAGAAAAAGAAGGGAAAUCUAAUAUCGCGAUUCCUGAGUACCCACCACAAAAUUGAGGCUCAAGUGGACGCCCUCGACAACCACAGAUUCUUUUCGAUCUUCCCAUGCAGUGAUCAAACGAUCAAGACUGUCUAUGACCAUCUCACUUUGUGCUUUAAAGCCCUCGAUAGCCAUUUGUCUUUUACCGAUUAACUCAGUUCCAAGGAUGGGUUCAUGAGAUCGGCCACCAGUUUUUUCAUUUAAAGCUCCAUCAGAUGCUUCUUCCUUGACUUUUGUGUGCGAAAUAACAGCAAGCUUCUUUUCUUUUCGUUUAGCCUUUGCUUUAGCAACUGCCACCGGAUCUAAGCAUUCCCCAGCAUGAUAAGUUGAAGCCCACAGGAGUGGGUUUUGUUUUUCAUCCAUGAAGCUCCUCAUCAUAUGGCGUAUUGAGUCAGUAGAAAUGACAGUUGUCACACCCAGUCUUCCCCCCUGCUUGCAAAUAUGCAAAGGGAAUAUCUUUAUCAAAUUGAAUUGAGUUUGCCCAGCAUUAUGUUGGUCAGAUAUUGAUAUAUAUUAAGAUAAGCACAUGGUGGACUAUUUGAAAAAGAUUCAAACAAAUAUUAGUAACUUUGGAGUUGAGGUUCAACAUGGACAACUUAGUUUUAUCUUUUUGGUAUGGCUUGAAGCAGGUUAAAAUCUUUCAUGCUAGAAAAGCAACAAAAAGAAAUGUUGAACUCAUUUAAAAUUUGACCAGUUUCCUUGUGUUGUUGGAGAACUGAACUAAACAGAUAUAUGUUAAUAAUAAAUGACAAGUCAACUUUCACAUGUCUCCAUGUAUAUUAUUAGCUUCUGUUCUCAAAGCCAGAUAAAAGAGGGUUGCAUUAAGACACUGAAGUCAGCAUAAAACCAGCUUGAAAAACUUUAUUGAGAACAAUGAAAACAAUAAGAUUUUUAGGUGCUCAUGAUUUAACUAGGGAUAUUAUCUAACACAGAAUGCAACUGUUGGAAAAGAUCCCUGUAGCCAACCCUAUAUCAUCGGAAGCUUCUUCUUGUUGUUAUUGUUGUAAGUUAGCUUUUACAUAAUCUGAUAGAAAAUCCAUCUAAACAAAUAGUAUAUAUAAAUUAUAAGCACCAAGACACUAUAUCAUAAACAGGUCCUGCUUGUAGAUUUGACACAAGAUUCUGAUAGAAAAUCCAUCUAACAAAACUAGCAAUAUAUAAAUAUAUAAUUUUUAAGAACUAAGGCACUAUAUCAUAAAGAGGUUCUGCUAUGUAGAUCGCAUUACAAAAGAUAAGCUCUACUUGAAUUUCAUAAGUUAGUACAGUUGCCCAGAAAGGAACUUGUGUCUGGAGACGAAGGAAGUUCAUUUGACAAUGCUUCCAAAACAAUUAUCUCCUUACAUCAUCUCGUUGAUUGUGAGAUGCUCUAUUUUCUCUCUUUUUCUUCUUCGUUUCAAUAUAAUACAUAUAUAUCAAACUCAAUGAGUAUAACUAAAAACAUCAGACAACCGAAUGUAUGUACCAGUUCAUCUUAAGGUAAAUCCAACAAUCAUGGAUCUCAAAAUGUAGAUAAAACAUGAAAAAUAAAGUGUAUGCUAGAGGAUUCUCUGGAAGUACCAGCAAGGAUGACAGAGUAGACUUGCCACAGCCACUAGUGCCACACAAGAGAACUGUCACAGAUUCCUUUCUUUCUCGAAUUCUAAAAGAUAUUUACAAUGCAGGAAAAGAGUUAGGAACCACAAACAAGAAGCUACAAAAGCAGAUAAGCAAAAAAGUUCUUCACAAGUAAAUCAAAUCAACAGACUUCAUUUAAGUUCUUCACAAGUAAAUCAAAUCAACAGACAUCAAUCAACUUACAGCCACUAGUUGUGUUCCAGAGGAUAGAUACUUAGAAAUCAUCCAACGUUAACUAGUUCUAUAUGUUCUCUCCCCAAAACUAAAAGCCAAAAUGAUUUACAUAAACUAAAUAUAAGCCUCAGAUAUCUUUGAAUUACUUAUAUAUGAACCUUACAGAUUAUGAAGAACCAGAUGGUUUUCUUGAGGUGUCAUUGUUCUAAACUGGGUGUAUAGAAUCUGAAGGAUCUACCAUGAUGGAAUUAAUUUAUGAAAUACGACAGAUAAAAGUAGGAGACUGAGAAACAAAACUUGUUGCAAUUUCGUUGCAACAACUAAAGAAACAAUGAAUCUUAGCGCUGCAAGGCCUGCUUAUAACAAUGUUAAUGGACCCUGUACUUGAUGAUGCCUAGAUGUGAUUUAACCACAAAGAGUAUACUUAUGGAACACAAAUUUUCAACUUGGGUUCCUCUUUUAAAUCAAUAAGGGUUUUAUUCAGACAAUUCUAGUUGGGCUUAUAAUUUUUUUUUACAAUGGCUUCACAUAGAUAGUAUGCAGGAGUUAAGCACAUCAAGAAAGUGUUCAGCAUUGAUUAGCUUUUUUCAAAAGCAAGCAACUUUAGAAUGAAAAAUAAGGCAUCAUCAUGAUGAUUUAUGACUACGACUCCUGAAGCAACUAGACAAGUUGCAUAAUAGACAUAGAGGAAUAUGGCAGGCUGCUCAUCAGGCUUAAACAUGUAGAUUCAACAAUUUCCUAAACGACAGGAAACUAAUGAUUGAGUGAAAUGUAUGAAACAUGGGAUCUUGGUAACAGUUAGGCAAAUUGAAAUUUUCCAACCAUAGUAACCUAUCUAAUAACCUGCUUAAUGUCAAGAUUAGGAGUACGCAUGUAGAAACUUAUUCGAUAAGAGAUGUGCAAAAAAAGGGGAUAUGAUGUCCUGUAUCCUCUCUAUUUCAAUAAUCAUGCACUAAACCUCAUCACCUAAUUUUGGUGUCAGUACAUGUUAUCCUUCCCCUCAAUCAACAAAUUUAAGAUGGAGCACUCUAAUAUGCUUUGUGAAACAACAAUAACCCACUCAAUUGGAGAAGGAUUAGAUGCAAAAAUUUACAUUCCAAUCUCUAAAUAUAUCUUGGGCUUCACACUGGCAGGGGUUUAUGCAUGACUAAAUGCAAAAGUUACAUGAAAAAGGAAGAUUUACUUCAUUCUGUCAAAAGACAAUAUGUCUGACAAGCAGGAUAGUAGAUUCAUACUAAGUCUUAACUAACAAAUUUAAGGUUCAUUGUAGAGAUGGAAAAAGGAAGAGGAAAGUAACAGAAUUAAUCCAUAAAGAUAUAAAAAGAGCAGAUAGGAUCACCAGACACACACAUACGGUUGUAUUUCUUUUAUCUGUAUAUAUGAUGAUUAGCAUAGCUACACUAGUUCUAUAAAAUAGAGUGCUUACAUGCAAGGACAACAAUGAUACUUUUUAUUCCAUUUGAGAAGUUUUCUUUCAUUAAUCCAUUACAACAAGAAAUUAGAAGGUGAAUACAAUCGACAGGCUUUGCAUGAAAAAAGCCUCUAAUCUCUGGCAAUACCACAUCUUGAUCAAACAAGACAUUUUGUAAAUAGCAUCACAUUGUGCAAAACCUAUGCAAAACUUUUAAGUUCAUUUUAAGUUCCUUUGCAUAUGUUCACAAGAACUCAGUCAGAGAAUUUUAGAAGGAAACAGAAGGUGCUGUACCUGCAAGCCAGAAGCAAGUCAGCUCUUUGAUUGCGACCUACAUAUUUGUACAGGGCAAGGGCAUCACAGACGAUGUCCAAGAAGCGCUCCCGUGAAACAACAACAGUUGUUAGCCUUUUGUACAAUUCGAAAGGAAUUCCACAAGUCGUAUCUACAUUCUCUUGAAUCAAGUCAUUAGUCAUGUUUGCCUGGUCUAAUCCACCAGUUUCAUUAGAUUCAUAUUCUGCAUUGGAUGGAAUCCGCCAGUCAUUUGAGCUUGUGGCAUCAGACGGCAAAUCAUCAACUGAGGACUCAUCCCUCAUCACUUCAAAUACCCUUCGGCUAAUCUACGAAAUAAGAACAUUAAAUAACAUGUUUCAUUCAGAUCUCAAGAUGUCAAUGAUAUACCAAAAGCAAGAAAGUUCUUCUGAAGAGACUAAUUACGGUCGGUUUUAGAGGACAAUAGGAGCAUGCGUGAGAUCAAAAUCUACCACCCGCUCCUCUACUACCAACCUUGAAGGCAUGACGUGCCUUGCAGCCCAUGAGCUGCAGCGUGCUCUGUAGCACCGACCGCGUAUACCGAAACGACAAGCUCCUGUUAUCCUCGCUCGCCAUCCCCUUCCCUCUCUCGCCACCGACUCCUCCCGUCUCGCCGUCGUCCACCACCACAAUGUACAGAAACUUCAGCCGCUCCGACAUCUCCAAGAACCUCCGAACAAGAAUCAAGAAACCCAAGAAUAACCGGAAACCGAGACCCAAGAUCCAAAGAGGAAGCAAACAGGCGGGCGGCGAGAUUCAACAACGAGGGCAAUGCAGGGGCCUCCGGGGCCUGAUCGACGAGAUUGGAGUCAGCGACGAGACCGCGACCACGCCGGGUGGAGAGCGCCCCUCGCGCGGGGGGAUCCGAGGCGGGUGAACGGAUGGGCGGGAGGCUAGGGUUUUCUGCAGGAGGGGCGGAAGGAAGGGGUGGGAGGAGGAUUGGGCUCGGGUAGUCCGCCAUGGCCAAAGCUCCGCGCCCGAGCUAUGCCCUCCUCCGCCUGUCACGACCUCCACGCAUCGCCCCGCUCGAGCCCACACAUGUCUCCCAUGCGACUCGUUCCUCUCCUCCUGCUGCUCCUCCGGAUCCGCUGCAAGAAACCCUGCGAAGGACGGCAGGGAGGAGUUUCAGGGUCGGUAAAACGGUGGGUGGGGGGAGAGGGGUAGCGUCGUUAUUUCGUCGAGUGUCAGGGUCGUACGGGGAGAUACGAUUCUCCCCGCGGCUUUCGUCCGGAUGUCCGCCACGAGGAGUGUUCGCGAGUGCGGUGGUGGACCUUGUCGUCCUUCCCUACGUGUGUUCGGCCGGCUUCACACAGAGUGGACCCCAGACGCAGGUUCAACCGCCAAGACAAAAUUAUUUUAUUUUAUUUUAUUUUUUUUAAUAUAUAGCGACAUAAUAUCGUUGAUCACUAUAUCGCAUCUUGAAAACUAAUCUUCAAGAAGGUUGAAUGCUUCACAAGGAUAAUUCUCAAGGUGAAUCAUUCUUGUCGCAAGCAUCACCUGCACGAUUAAUGUCAUAGUUUAACACGAGAGCUGAAAUUAAGAUUUCAUAUCCCAAAAUAUAUCUAGAAUGUUCAUAUUUCAUAGAGUGAUGAAGGAAAUAUUUAUGUAAUAAAUAAUAUUGUGAAGAACAUUUUCCUCUUGGAUUCAUUCUAUUGUCAUAGAUCAGCUGAAAAUGUCAUAUCUAUCAUGUCCCGAUUUAUCCAAUAUAUUAAUUAUUUCACUUUGAAAUAAAUAAUUAUUUCGAUAGAACUUUCUAGUUGACACACACAACAAAUAGUUUUAGCCAUUCUUUUUACCAAAUUCAUAUUUGGAACAGAUAAGUUAAAAUAAGUAUAUUACAAAAAAAAAAGUUAAAAGAAACAUAGAAACUUCUCUUGAUUUUGUAUUGUAGAUUUCUGUCUAAUCAUCAUUCAAACGAAAAAGAAGUGAAAGUGUGACCAUCCAAGUUUCAUUUACUAGAUAAUAUACACAAUAUUUGGAGAGGAAGUAAUGGAAUUCCAAAUCCUCGGAGACCAGCUAAUGAGCUAAUGCUCCAUCCAGUAUAUACCGCAUAGAGUGGGAUAUGAACAAAGGGGAUUUCAUCAUCAUGUCCAAAAUUUGUUGUACUGGUGCCCAUAGCUCGAUUAGAGAACCAUAGCCACAGCUCAUGUAAGCUAUAGAGGAAUUGAAUAGAUAACGAACGUAGCAUGUAAAAUCAGAAUAGACAUACAUCUACAAGCUAUUGCGAAGCUGAGAAUUAUAAUAUAACAUGAAAUCUGUGAUUUGUCUGACCCAAUAUUCAAAUCCAAGUCGGUAUCGUAUUAACGCUGUAAUCCAAAUGGCCUUAAUGCUUAUUUCCAAACUGCCACCAUUUUUUCUUCUUCUUUGUGUCUGCGGCAGGAAGAUCUGAACGAAGAAAAAGGAAAUAUUAACCAAAAAACAAGUGUUCCAAUAAUGUACCACAACAACAAAGUUUUUGCUGGAAGGAUUGGAAAGCGCAUUUGUUUUCUAUUUGUCCUGCAACCGAUGCAAAGUGGGGAUCUACCAGUGAGACUUGGAGAAUACAAUAAUGUACUUACCACCUUCAGGAUAAAUUGAGUUGUAGUGCACCUCAGCCCAAAAGCUCAAGAAAAUGACUGCAACAAAUUAUACGACUUUGAUUAUAGCUCCAAGCCCAGAAACAGAUGAAAAAGUUAUUAGUAUUUGAUGGAUAUCAAGAUAGAUGAAAUGUGUAGGGUCUAUGACAGUGCGCUUACGUUUGACCCCUCACAAGAGCAAGUAGCCUAAUUGGAACACUAGUUUUCAUGCUGAUUUUUUGUUCCAUUCUUAACUCCAGGUCUUAACUAUUCAAGGUGAGUAAAUUUAAUUAGACUAAAUUAUUCUUAACAGGAAAGUCUAAAUUUGAGAUGUACCUCGGUUAGAAUUCUGAACACUGGGCAGAAUCUCGAUAUAGCAAGUAUCCUUGAAUGAUGUUAUGACAAAAAUUUUAACUCCAUACUGCAGAACAGAAAAUUCACAACAACACAAAAAAAUCUGUUAAAAAUAAUGAAAAUAGAAGUGCUUAGCUCCACUAUAAGCUGAAGAAUCAACUUAGUAAACAAACUACAGCAUCAACAUUUAAGCAUAUGAUCUCAGCAUUUGUGCAAUUAAAAGGUUGCUCUAGUUAUUCCUCAAAACAUAACGUGCAUGGAAUAAAGAAUUAUUUGACAACAGAAGUAAUUGCCUGUAACUCAGGAGGGAGUGGCUAUUUUGAAGCACUAAUCCCCAGGCUGUCCGGGUUAACCUUUUCUAUUCGAACUUGCAAAAGAUAAUUAUGAGGAUCUUGUGGAGGAGAAAUAUUGAAAGAAAGUUCAAAAGUGUUAGGGAUGAGAGACACAACACUUGGCACUGAAAGAAAGUAUUGUUUCUUUAUUAAUAGUACAUGCUGAUCAGUGUGUAUCAGUAUAUAUCCAUCUAUUUGAAUGAAAAACUUUCUUUGCAAGCAUUUAUUAAAUAAGUAGAUAAAACAAUGAACAAACCAAAGGUCUUAUCUCCCUUGCCCUUCCUCUUUAUCAUUCCCAGGAAACUUUAUAAAAAGCAUGAGCAUCUAUUUUACUUCAUCCAUGACAAAAUUUGAAAUCAAUCUAUCCACUGACAAAAAAAAAAAAAAAAACACUACCCUUGCAAAAUUAUGAUCCUCCACAAGAUCCACAUAAGUUCAUAAAAAUAUUAAGCUAAAACAUGAGCUUCUUGCACUUUUGAAAACAUCAAUCUCGAGAUAGUGAUAUUGUUCCAAAAUCAUUUCCCACUGACACAUCCUAGCAAACUAAAUUUAACUUUGAACAAACUUGAUCUCUAUUUCGCAGUCCACCUUUGACAUGUAAUGAGAUUAAAAAAAAAAAGACAAAACUAAGACUGGAGCUUUAGAGAUAUUUGCACCUUAUUCAAACUUCAUAUCAUUGCAUACAUGGCCUCAGUUAAAAUUUUCUACUUUAAGUAUUUAACCAUUAAACGUAAUGCAAACAUAAUACAGUCAUUAUUAUCGAGAUAAGCCAAAAUGUCAAGACAAGAAAACAGAAUCAGAAUGGAAAAAAAUCAGAAAAUAAAAGAAGGCAAAAGAACGAAGUGUGAUACUGAAUCUGCAGCUGCUUGUAAUGUUACAUGAUCACCCCACUCGCCGCUCCUGCAUAUGACAGUGUAAAUCAAACAAACUACAGAAACAGUGAUGUGUUUGCUUAGAACAACAUCAGGGCCUAGAAUCUUAUGAAAAAUAAAACAUACUUAGAAAGCUUAUUCAGGUAGUCACCAUAUGGCAUUGGAACAUAUCCCUCAUAGAUCUCAGAGUGAGACUUGAGCUGAAAAACAAAAAAGCACAUUUUGCUAGUUAAAACAUGAUAAGUGCAUAAGAAAGAUACUGAGAAUAAUAUUAAGAGAAUAAAAAACCAACCUGAUCAACAACUUGCUGUCUCACAAACUCAUGGUGUUCAGGUGUUUGAUAUAAUUGAUCAGACAGUGCCCGGAACUGGAGAAACAUGCACUAGUACUAAUGUCAGGUCUUGGAUAAAAAGAGAAAUGACUGCCCUAAAGAAUCAAAUCAUAGUUGCGAAAUAGAACAUGUCCAUUUCAUGUAAGGGCCAGCUAUUAUUAGGGUCAGAUUCUUGAAACACAGCCGAUAAGUUAGUCUGGACCUAUACUGUCAAGGUCAGGUCCUUAUUGCUUUCUUAAAAUAAUUCUUUGUCCAAAGUUGGAAGCUUACCAACUAUGAGUAACUAGUGAAAUGCCUAAUUAUUGCCCAAAAUCUAUCUCUACAAAAAAUAGAAUUCAACUGCAUCAGCUAAUCUGGAUUUCUGAUGUCCCUUUUCUUUUUAACUCUGACAACCCAUUAGUCCCACAUAUUUGCAGUUGUCAUAUUUAAUCUCAUCCCAAAAUCUGACUUGACAAUUCAUCUGGUCAAUCCAAUCUGAUCUUGAUACCAAAUCUCAUAGUCAAAACUAGAACCAGUGUCUCCUGCAAACCUUUGAGAACCAGCUUUCCAGAAAAGCAAGGUAAAUGGUUGAUCAUUAAAAAGGAAACGAAUCAAAUGCAUAAUGGUUUCAGUAAUAGAGAAAGCACUGCCCUAGCAAUCGAGUGUGACUAUUGGGCAAGCUUAUAUAGAAUCAGGUUUCCCCAGAACACAACUAUGUCAUUUAAGGAAUAAUUUGGCAUGACUAACCUGACAGUUACCAUCUCCUUGGACCUUAUGCUCAAUCAAGUCAUACAACUGCAACCUGCAAUGCAAACAAUGAACAACCAUUUAGAGAAAGAUUAGAACCUGCAAAGUAACUCCUUGAAGAUGGAUGAGUUAACCAGGAAAAUUUAAUAAAAAUGGAUGCCUUUAAAUACUCGUAACUGCAGUGAACAUGGGUGACAACUCAAUUCAUCAAAUAUUUCUAGAAUAUAUGCAGAUACUUUUUAGAAAUAUUAGAUUUUUUAAAUCAUUAACAAAAGUCAAUUCUUUAAGGAGGCUUGGUAUGUACUCUGUAGAUAUCUCUUAGGUACACCUCCUGCUUGAAUAAUAUGGUUUGAUGAUAAAGAAGAUAGCAUAUAACCAUAUUAUUUGAUUAUCUUUUCUACAUAUUUUGAGCAUCUGUUGUUAGAAUUUAAAUUAUUUCUCAAUUAAUAAGGACGAUAGCCAUUUUUAUCAUGUUUCAUAAUUUCACACUCUCAACAAUGUAAAAUAUUGGCAAGCCUUUAGAAUGUUAUUGCUGGAUUUUGACACAGGUAUAUCUAUCAUAUGAUAUUUGGUAUUUUGCAUUAGAAACUAUGCUUCAUAGACACAAAUAUACUAGUGAAAAAGAAAAAUUAAAUAAAUGAAGCUUGUCCAAACUAUCUAUCUAUGAGUAUUAAAUUUACACAUCUUUUAGAGAGUACAUGAUGCAGAAACAUGGAAAUAAUCCUAACCAUAUGGCCACAGGCAUUAACAAAAGCCGAGUUCUCAAUUUUGAUAUGUACCACCCAGUAUGGGGGGUACAUACCGGUCCGAAAGAAUAUCGGUAUACGGACUACCCUCUGUCGGGCGAUACCAGUGCUUUAAUCGAUAUCGAAGCGUACUGACCGGUACCGCGAUUUUGAUUGUUACUGAGGCGUACCGACCAGCAUGGUAGUGGAGGUAUUUUUAAGGUUUUAGAGUGUACCAUUGGUACGCUAGGGUACGCCCUGACGUACCGACGAUACAUCGGUAUGAACCGGUAUUCAAAAUCCUGAACAAAAGGUAUCUUUAAUUAUGUUAAGGUAGUUAGAAAAAUUGAGUGUUCAAAUUAAGUUGUUAUGUGCUUGCUCCUGAUAAGAGUAUAAAGUAGGCUACUAAAACAUAUAAUAGUGACAUCUAUCCAACCAGCAAUUUUUUAGUCAAAUAACCACAGUUACAGAAAAUCACAGGUUAAUCACACUUUUGAGUUUGAUAAGGCCAUAAGGGCACAAGUAGAUAUCAACAUUAACAGGUUAAUCACACUUUUGAGUUUAAUUUCAAGUCUUCACUGGCAUCAGAAGUUCAGAAUUAUAAGUUCUUAUCAAGAAAGAAGAGACAGUAAGGAAAGUUGUAUUGAAAAUUUCGAAGAGACAGGAAGGAACUAUUAAUCAUAGCAUGAGAUUCAUGGAAUAAACCCAAUCCUCAGCUACCAUAAAGCAAAUAACCUGUUUAUCCAGGGUUUAUCUAUUUCUAUUUCUACUAGUACCAACAUCAUUCCAUCGAUCUGGUACUAAUAGACUUGUUUUGACUUAUUUCUAGAAGUAAAGUCUUAAACAAAAACUUAAAAGAGUUAAUGGGCCACACCUGUCUGUAAGUCUUUGAUGAUCCGACGUGGCUUCAUCAACAGAAGGAAUUUGUCCAUUAAUUCUAGGAACAUGCUGCAGCAACCAAGCAACAAUGGCCUUAUAUAAUAGUAAAUACAUAAAUAUGGCACAGCCAAGUAAAAUGAAUUUAUUCUAUAGGAAAAUAACACAUGGAUAGCAAACCUCAGCAAUCAGCCAAAUUUAGAGUGUAUGAGUGUAGUCUGUGCUUAGACUACUAAAGCAAUGAUAGUGCACCGAAGCAUGCCAAUGAUGCAGUACACAGCAUAUACUAGAGUUGAAGCGAUCUUUAAUUAUUAAAGAAUAAACAUGAGUUGAGAGUUUAUCUAUCAGCUGAAGUUGUUGGUACAACUUACAAGUGGUGGACCUAACUAAAACUUUAUCAUGGUAUUGUAGCAGUUCAUGAGUCUAAACCUUGAUUAUGCUAACCUUUAUACUUUGUCCAGUAUUUACACAACCUACCCAUAUAUGGAUCUUCACAUAAAGCCCAUUGAUCUAGCUUGCGCCUUGUACUUACGUCCACUUUCAAGUCAAUUAUUGCUUAUCUGGCUCAAACCUAGGGCCGUAUUAUAUCUAAAUAUAAGUUGGAUUCCUUCAUAUUAUCUUUGGCUUUUAAAUCUUAUCAUUAUUAAUUCUGUUUGUGCCAUGCUGAAUAACCACAUCUAUUUUGUAACAGAAAGACUGCACUUUGAACAAAGUAGGAGUCUCUGUACAUAUGCAAACAUCACUGCUUAUUUUGACCAUUGACAACCACAUACAAUUAAUGUUGCACUUUCAUAUUAAAAUAAUACAUACAAAUUAGUUUAGACAUUGUCCUAUCCCAUAAGAAGUAAAUAUCAAAAUUGAGAAACAUGAAAAGAGAUGUGAAUUUAGAAGAUCAGCACAAACUUACAGGGAUGGGAACCAUCUGAUUUAGCCUUCUACCAACUUCACCAUCUGCAGCAGAAUGCUCAUCUGUUACAUCCAAUGAAUACAGCCCCUCACAAGAGUUUUCUCUGGGACUAGAACAAAAAUUAGACACCUCUUCCUGCCCAUUCUCAACCCCUACAAUAAUGAACAUCAUGAUACAAGCUAUAACAAUAAAUCUUUAACUAGCUGCAGAAACUUAUAUUUAUCGUAGUACCAAAACUGUAUUCUCUUGUAUAUUGGCCAAACAGAUCUUCCGUGAAAUCACGUGCAGUUCCAGAAGCAUCUGCAUCAACAACUUUAGAAAAUCUUAGUAUAAGUGUAUACAAUUAUCUCAUUGUUUUAUACAGUAGCAUUGCGUGCAUCGACGUACCUUCUCUAAUACAACGACUGGAAUAAAAGACCGAGUCCUGCUCAGUGCUGCCAAUAAAAUAUGGAGGGUUUGCGAAUAGGUAAUUAUGGAAAGGACCAACUUCCCACCGAUAAGCCUCAGAGUCUUGCUCGUAGGUACCCAUCAGAUAUGUUCUCAUAACAGUGUUCCAACAAAGUGAAUUCUGGAAUUACCCUUCCUAGAGUUGUUUAUUAUAGCUCGAAUAUGUCAGCCACCAAGAGAUCUCAAUGUACCAUUAGCAGAAGUCAUCCGCUGCAUGACACAUUAUGCUAAGUGAAUAGGCACAUUGUAUAAAUUUAAACUGAACAUAGAGUAAAAGAAGCACCAAGAUAAUUCAUUUAUAGAUUGAGGAGAUAUGAAGAAAUGCAUGAAUAUAUGGCUGUUUAAAAUGGAAUAAGGAUAAGCUUCAUUACAGGGUGAAUGCAACUGGAUCACUCUUAUAUAUCUUAAUAAAGUCGCUCAACAUUCUGACAUGCUUUCUGCUUACUGAAUUCAUCACUUGAAUUAAAAAAUUUAGCAGAUGAUGAUGUUGAAUGUGAAAUAGCAAUUGGUAAAAAAAAAACAAAUAAAAAAAAAGAAAUAGCAAUUGGUCCUUCUCAGCAGGAAUGAAAUUCAGAUAAAAUUUGCUAUUAUAAGCUUAGUUCAAACAAAAUUUAUAUGACCUCAGAGUUCACCAUUUGUUGAAUGAGUAUAAGAAUGAUAUGGUAAGCUAGAAUGCACCUUGUUGGAGUGUUGCUGAGCUUUUCCACAACUAAUAUGAGACCCAAUAUGUGUAAGAUGUGAGUACGCUAAAAUUGGAAACUGCUCCUGUUUUAAAAUUGUGAAUGUUCAUGGCCGUAGAUUUGCAUGAUUUAUAUUUUUUGAGAACAAAAAUCCACUAGCGAUCCCAAAACUUCCCUUGAAGCGUUAUACUUGCAUUUCAAAACAUGUCAAACUAUAUAGUCAUUUAUUAUCAUACUUAUUGAAAAAUGAUUUUAGAGACAACUAAAGAUCUAAUAAAUCAAGAAAAAAUUGCCAAAGUUAAGCUACAAAAAUGAGAAAUGUAUUUGGAUUAAAAGGAAAGUGAAGUUGCUCAUUUAUGAUAUGUGGAUAUGACCUGUCCGUAUUCUUGAAACUUUUGAGACUUGAAUAUAAUAGCAUCCACAACAAGGCCAAUACCACAUGGACCAUGAACACAAGUAAACAUUAUUAGCACUUGGAAUUAUUUAAAAAAAGGUAAUUGAAAUUGUGUUAGUCAACUAGGCUACUGAUUAGGGCCUAAGUCAGGCCAUUGAUGAUGUUCUCAGCUUUGUUCCGUUAGCCAUUCAUCGGUCAAUUGACAAAUAUUUUGAUGAGAAGCAUUCAAUAUAAGACAAGAUGUCAAAAAGCACAUGCCGAGCUCUUACGGUGCAGUUUAGAGAAAGCCGGCAGAAAAUUUUUAGUUGCUUGUUCUUGAAAAGUGCAAGUGGUUAAAAGGUCCCCAUCCCCUUUCCUUUUAGCUUCUUUCCACCAAGAAAAGGCAAAAAAAAAAAAAGGAAAAAGGAGCCGAAAUAAAUAAAAAAGGAAAAGGUAGGGGAUAACAGCGACUCAAGGUCAACAGUGUGUUGAUCAAAUAGUAUUUAAAGUGUCAAAAUGCAAUCUGAUCAUGAUCCUUCUGUCAUUCUUCGCGUUAAAUAGUAAUUCAAUUUUAAUGAUAAGUGCUAAAAUCUGAAUCUAAGGAAAAAUUAGUAGCAGAUAGGAUCUAUUGAAGUGUACCACUUCACAUGUAUAAGAAAUCCUAUACAUAUCCAAGCUAGAAUUCUUCCAGCCAAAUCCUGACGCUUCUCGAUGACAUGUUAAUAAGAUCCACACGAAAUCAGAAUUGUACGAAACAUCACCAGGUAGCGAAAACAGAAUCAAUAUUGCAUCUCAAUUACAACACACACUCUAUCAAUCAUCCCCAAGCCUCUGAUGAGGAAACCGCGGAUCGAUCCAAGAAAGUUAGGCGUCAUCCAUCGGAUAUCCACGAUGCGCUUAAUCUUCAAUACAUAUAAACAUAAAACAUCGAAAGUACACAGAGACUUACACAACGAGAACAAUCGAGGGACGAGGAAGAGGAGACCGACGAGUGCCUCUUUCUUGGACCAAAAGGAAACCGACCGAUCGCGAGAACCUCAAGCGAGCGAGCAGCGCACCCUCGAGACGCCACAAUGGAACGAAGCGAGAGGGAGCGAGCGAGAGGAAGCUGCGUCUUCCUUUUGUAAUCGCCUCAAGCCCCACUACUCGGCCGACACGCGUACGGUAAAGAUGCCUUCCAUCUGACGGGCGUCAACAGUGAUGAGGGGUCGAGUAAGCCGGGUUCGAUGUGAACCCAGUGAUUUGAGCCGGCUGAUUGACGAAUUUGACCGGGUCAGGGUAGCGGAUUCGGACGGAUACCUGCAACGGGAAGAGAAUUCAAUAGACGUGGGUUGACAUCCUAAUCCGAUGACUAGGAUCCGACGCGAGCAUGGGGAAGGACUGCGAGAAAACCGGGCGCUCCGGCGGCUUACCGAUCGAAGGUUGCGUGGAGUUGAUGGUGACCGCGGAAUUCCGCGGCCAAAGCAAGGAGAGGUGAGGACGUAAGCUGCACGCGAGGUCGGAGGUGUGUCUGCGUACGCCGAGCGCAUCACCGCAGCUUCGUCGGCGUUAGAAAUUGGAUUGGAAAUCGUAAUAGGGUUCCCUUCUUUUAUAUUAUUGGCCGUCGACGUCGACGGGCGUCAGCUUCGACGAAGAUGACGACAUAAACAGUACGUGACCGACGUGGCAUUUUGAAUACCUAUUACUCAUCAUCUCAUUUGUGAUUCGUUUGGUGCUCACUGCACUCGAAGAAACAUCUUCCUAACAUUUUGAUGGAAAGGCAGAAUACAUGGAGACGGAGAGGGUCUCAUGGAUUGCAUGCACCCGAUGGCUUUAGAGUGGGCGUGAAGAAGGCGACUUGUAUUAGAGUCCUACCUUCUUUCCCGGGAAGAGCGAGAGACUCUGAGGUCAAAACCUUACAUGAGUUCUUUAUAGCAUUCAAAGGUUGAUUUUUACUCUUGAAUUUUUUUUCUAUCCUAUCUCCUACCAAUUAAUUGAUUUAAUUACUAAUUAUUCUAAUUUUUAUAUUUUUAAAAAUUAUAUUAAAAUCUUUAUAAUUACGAAGGUAACAUUUAAUCUUAUUUUUUUCUCGUCAUGGAUUCUGUGUUCAAUAAUAAAUCUUAUGAUUUUUUGAAAACGAGAUUAAAUGUCUCAACAAUAUAUAACUUUUAAAAAUAUAAGGAUUAGGAUACUAAAAAUAAUUAAUUACAAGAGAUAAUAUGUGAUUAAUUUUAAUUAAUUAAUACAUGUUAACUUGGGUAAGAAAUUAAACUUCAAACCGGUGAUCACCAGAUUCCAUGUUCUUAUAUCUUCCAACGCCACGGAUAUAUUAUAAGACUGAUUAAUGCUAAAGGUACGUUUAGGUCGGGUGCAUGCACUCCUAAUCAUAAAAUUAUGUGCUGAGUAAGUUCUGUACUUAUUUUAAGGUCCUACUUGCAUUACUUAAGCUCCUUUCGCUCCAAGUGUGACCAUGAUCUGGAGAGUUAGACACUAAGUGUUUUUGAUUUAUUGAUAUCCUAAAAAUACAAUCAAGCCAAAAGUCAUGUAUCAUAGCAAACUAUCCUCCAAGACUACCUCUUUAUCUAAACAGAAAGGAAGAAACUAAUUUUUUUUUUAUUUAGAUUCAAAACUUUGAAUGGUAGCUAGCUUAGCUAGUUAAUCAAAUUAUAUUCUACCACUUAUUAAUGUAGGACAGGAAGAAAAAGACUUUUAUAAAAGAAUUGAUCAAGUCAAUUUAGAAAAAAAAAAUUGAUUAAGAAACCUACUUUGGAGCCUUAAAAAAUUAAAAAUAUAUAAAUACUCGAGGAGUAUAAUAUACGAUUAUAAAGAUUGCAUGACAAUAUACAAGUUGGUACCAAGAUCCACACGAGGGCAUCACCGGAAGACUAUUUUCAAGGAGCCUAAAUUUACCCACUUAUUAUUUUUAUUUUUAUAUUUCUUUCGAUUAUCUCAUAUUAUUAGUUGACUAGUUUUAAAGCCGGUAUAAAUAAAGAUCCCCUCUAAGCCUAUGGGAUUAUCAAGAAAUAAUAUCUUUUGAGUAUUGUAAAGAUGGAGUUGAUUUCUUUCGUCCCCAGGUUAGCAGAUUAAAUUUGUGGCUGGAGUGUUAGCCCCAUGAGCAGCUUAGAAGCAUAAGAAGCCAGAAUAACCAAGGAACUUCGAGAGAUUCAUGACAUACUCACUAACUUAGGUUUAAGCACCAACAGACUUCGUGAUGACAGUAAGGUCAACUAUACUAAAGUUGAUGUUAAUGACUAGCCAAAUCAUCAACACGGGCCUACAAUCCAACGUAACUAGCCUAUAAAGAUGAGUCACAUGAAGAUGAAGGAAUUAUAGACUAUCAUAAACCAACCAAAAAAGAUGUGCAUGUGCAACUCAACCGUGACACUUCAACCGAUAUGGUACUAUCUACCCACAAUAACUAAUAGAAUAUGAUGAUGACUCAGGAGAUGACGAUGAAAGAUAUAAAAGACAUGAAGUAUCACUCAAAUGAAAUAGACUAUUUAAGGAUUAUCAUCUCAAAGCAGACCUCCCUAGUUUUAAUGACCACCUCAGUGUUGAAGCUUUUCUCAACUUAAGUUAUAAAAUAGAAAAUUAUUUCGAUACGAUGAAUAUUCCUUAUCACAAAUAAGUCGAGCUUAUUACAUAUAAGUUGAAAGGAGAUGUAAUAGCUUGGUGGGAUAUAUUAUAAAAAAUAAAAAAAUAAGGAAAAACAUCACAUGGCAGAAGAUGAAGUAAAUUCUCAAAUGAAGAUUCCUACCCGUAGACUUUGAACAACUAUUGUUUCAAUAAUACUUUAAUUGCAUCUAAGACACUUGAUAUGUAACUAAGUAUACUGAAUGAGUUCUUACGCCUUUUAGCUAGAUAUAACUUACUAGAGUCAAAAGACCAUAAGAUAGUAAGGUAUGUCAACGAACUAAAAUCUGUAAUUAAAAAAAGAAUGCCUCUAACUAUGAUAUAGAUAGCAGAUGAAGCUACUCUUAUUACCCAAUAAUUACCCAAUAAUUACCCAGUAUUAAAGUCUAAAAUAUUAUUGACUCGACCUCCAAUUAUUACCCAAUAAUUCUCUACUCCAACACAAUCUACUCUUAAAAAAAAAACGUACGUUAUGACUAAGUUAAUACAAUCUAUAAAUCAAGGCAUAAGUACCAGAGGAGUAACAAAGCAAGUUAAGCAUAUCCUGACUACCAUAAACAAUCCAUAUGUUCGACUCAUGAUUGAGAAAUAUUUCAAAUAUGGGGAGCCUAGUCUAUGUAUGUCGUGCUCGUAAGACUAUCAAUCUUGUAUAUCAUAAAGAUGACUUUGAAGAAAAAAAAGAUACCCGAGAUGAUGUAAUUGAUGAUAUUGAUAAUGCUAAAAUAGUAGAGAAAGAAGAGAAACACAUAACAUGUGUUGUAAAAGGAUUAUUACGCAUCCCAAUGCAAAAAAGAUCCAUCUAAGCAUAAAAAAAUCUUUCAGAUACAGUCAUCUUUAUGUCAUCUUUAUAAUAUCCAAUGCAAAAAAGAUCCAUCUAAGCAUAAAAAAAUCUUUCAGUGUUAAUAACAAAGUUUGUGCAUUGAUCAUACAUAAUAAAAGCUGUGACAACAUUAUAUUCAAAUCACCAGUGAGACACUUAAAAUUAUAUAAAGAAGCUUAUCCAAAACUAUAUAAGCUAAGUUGGAUUAAAGAAAGCUCAACUAUCACUAUAAUUGAGAUUUAUACGGUUCCUCCCUCAAUUGAAAAAAAACUAUAAAGAGGAAGUUAUAUAUGAUGUAGUUGACAUGGAUGCAUAUCAUAUGCUACUUGAAAGAUCAUAAUAGUAUGAAGUGAAUGCAACCUAUUUUGAAAAAAAAAUAUUUAUAUAUUUUGAUAGAAAGUCUAACACUUUAAAGUUAUGGGAAAGUCUUUCUUUUUCAUUUUCAACUAUCAGUAGGAAUUUAUUAUUAGUUCUAAAGAUACAAGAGCAUGUUAUGCUCUUAUUAUUAUUGAAAAAUCUAAGAUGACAUCACAUGUGUAGUGAUAGAACAAAAAAUAAAAAUCUUAUAAUUUCUUGUAAAAAAAAAGUUUUCAUUAUCGUGCAAAAAUUUAUGCGCAAAAACUCGUGAAACCAAAAACUAUGCAUAUAAGAAAGAUAUAUUAUAUGGAGAGAUCAUAUAUCCUUAAAAACCUAUAGAUCUUUGGGAGAGGAUGAGGAAGGUCAACUGUCCUCCUCUCUAGCGGUGAUCCACACGGUAGGGACUAUGAAGACGCUCCUCAAAUCACUGCCCAAAUCUCUUCCUCGUGUGCACCACACAAUCAAGAAUGAGCUGCCUCUUCUUGCUGUCCACACACCCCAAAUAGGGGCUGCUGGCUGAGGAGGAGAAUAGGAGGUAGUAGUCAAAAAGCCUAGCCCAUGGACCUUUGGUUCCAUCAUAUUUAUAGAGGUUCCUUAUCAACUUAACCCUAAUGGAUCCUACCAUAAUGGGUAUUGGAUCUUCCUUCAACUAUCCAAGCCUCUUUAAGUUAGUGGAUCUCUACUCAAUAAUCUCUCAUUGGCUCUUAUUAAAUCUCAUUCAUAGGAUUCAAUAAUUCAGUGACUUAUUGGAUAUCUAAUAAGAUAGGACCUCCAGUGGAUAUCUCAUAUCUUAACCUCUACUCGUCCCAACACUUACCAUAUGUGUGUGACCCUCUAGGCCCAAUAUCGAGCUAACCAUGAGUCAUACUUGUUAGAACUCUUUUUUGCUAAUAAUUCACUUGACUCAUCGAUUGUGGGUGUACUAGGCUAUUACGCCAUAAUCCCUAGAUGAUACAAGAGAAUCCAAUCUAUUGGAUAUGUCUAUCCUUAGUUACCAUAUACCUAUAAUCCUUCAUUCAUCUAAUAUUCCAGAAAUCAUAUACCGGGCAUGGUGUUGUCAGACCCAUACGGUUUCUACUCGAGUCUCGCUCAAAUCGAAUUCUCUCAUAGAACUCUUUUUCUCUCAAUUCGAAUGACCCUAGCUAUGGAUUUGUCUAAGCAAGAAUACAUAAGAUAUUUUUCUCAUGAUACCGAGAGUAGAUGAUCCUUUAUUGACACUCAAUAGCCCUCGUAAGGUUGGUUAUCACUCCCGAUGACCGGUUGUGCUAGAUCUGUAACUUCCAGACCUAUAAGUCUGAUAUCAAAAAGUGGAGUACUCAUAGAUAUCCUUGGUAUCUCAAGUCUAAAAACUAGAUACACCACUGGGACAAUGGAUUCGCUGUCUGACAAUAAGGCAUCAUCAACCAUCCAGCAUUCCGUAAGCGGAUUAAUCAGUGAACUCAUUCUCUAAUGAUCACUUGCAUUGUAUCCCUAGUGUCUCUACACGAGCAAUUAUGAGACCAGUUGCCUCUAUCAUAUGGAUGGGUAUAUAGCACACUAGUCUAUCUGAUUAUUUCGAUGUCAUUCUCGAGUAACCUAUGACCGAGAUUAUUUAGGACUUGUGUUUAAAGGCGAAUCGGUCUCAUUAUCGUGAUUCAUCACGAUCUGAUUCUCAUUCCAUAGACCCAUGGAUAUCACAAUAUAUAUAUAUAUAUAUAUAUAUAUAUAUAUAUAUAUAUAUAUAUAUAUAUAUAACAAAAAAUAUAAAGUGAUAAAAUAUCAAAUAAUAUAAUAAGCAAAAAAGAGUACAUAUAAUGUCAUACGUGUCAUCACUCACGUGGUUGGCUUGUAUGACACCUAUGACUAGCAAUUAUGAAGGGAGAAAAAUCACAUGAAGCAAAGAUUCCAAAAGGACUAAGAUUGAUAUUGGAAGAAUUCAAAAAGAUCACCUUGGAAGAAUUCAAAAAGAUGGACUUUCACCCAUGAGAGAUAUUCAACACCAAAUUGAUUUAUCUCUAGGAGUAAGUCUACCAAAUUUACCUCACUACCGAAUGAACCCAAAAGAGAAUUAGAUGUUGAAGGAGAAGAUAGAAGAGUUAAUGUGGAAGGAACAUAUUUGAGAAAGUAUAAGCCCAUGUGCAGUCCCAACUUUAUUGACACCCAAGAAAGAUGAAAGCUGAAGGAUGUGCAUAAAUAGUAGAGUCAUCAAUAAGAUCAUAGUCACACUUUCCCAUACCUCAAUUAGAAGAUAUGUUGGAUCAACUAUAAAGCUCCAAGAUAUCAUCAAAGAUUGAUAUAUGAAUAUCAUCAAAUUUGCAUAAGGCUUAGAGAUGAAUGAACAAUUGUAUUCAAGACAAAAGAAGACUUACGUGAAUGAUCAGUUAUAUAUUCAUGAGGCUUAUGAAUUAGGUACUUAAACCAUUGAUCGAAUAAUUUAUAGUUGUCUACUUUGAUGACAUUCUAAUCUAUAGUCAUAGUAGGGAAGAACAUAUGGACUAUUUAUAGUAAGUCUUAACUAUUUUGUAAGACAACAAAUUAUAUAUCAAUUUUAAGAAGUGUGACUUCCUAACAAAUCGAUUGAUCUUCUUAGAGUUCAUUGUGAGUGCUAAUAGGAUUCAUGUAAAUGAAAAAAAAGAUUCAUGUCAUUUGAGAAUGACCUACUCCAAACACUAUCACAGAAGUGAGGAGCUAUUUUCUACAAGAGAUCCAUUAGAAAUUUCACCAAUAUUAUCACUCCUAACUAUUUGAAGAAAAAAAAGUUUCAAUAGAUUGAGGUCAUUGAAAAUUGUAUGCUAUGAUAUAAGCUUUACGGAAUUGGGAAUGUUACUUGAUUCCAUAUAAGUUUGUAAUAUUUUCAUACCUUAAAAUGCUAAACCAUUUUAAAAACUAGAAGCAUUUGAACAAGAAAUAUGUAAAAUAGGCUUUCUAUAUAAAGCAAUUUGAUUAUGAAAUCAAACAUAAGUUUGGUGCUUCCAAUCAUCUUGCUGAUGUUUUGAGUGUUGAAUCUCGGAUUUUGAUAAUGAAAUCAAUUGAUGAGUUUGUGAUCUAAUCUGCAUUUUGAGUGACGUAGGACUAGCUUCGAUUAAGGAGAGGUAAAUUAAUUAAAGCAGGAUGAAUCGAACAUUGAGCCAGAGUGAACAUAUGAGAAGAUUAGACGUCGGGCCGGAGGAUCGGUCGACGUGUUCGUAAAGGCCUCGUGCCAUGAAUUCGAGCAUCGAGCCGAAGGAUCGGACGAAGCACCAGAUGAACCAAUGACAUGUCGGAUAAAAGAUUUAUGCUUCAUAAUUAUUUAUUUAAGAUUAAAGUAGUUUAGGGGCCUAAUUGAGUUAGCUUUUGUUAUAAUCAUGCUAACUCAAUUAGGGGCCAAUUGGACCUUAAUUGGGAUUGAUUUGGGCUCAUUAGGAGGCUCAUUCAGUGACCCAAAAGUUGGAUCAGGUAGUGGCACCACCAGAAUAGGCGGUGGAAUCGCUUGUGAGUUGGAAAAUUCAAAAAACCGGUCUUUGAGGCUGUUAGGCGGUGGUACCGCCCAAUGACAAUGUGUCAGGCGAUGGUACCGCCUAGUGUUAGGCGGUAGGCGGUGGUACCACCCAGUACAGGCUGUGGUACUGCCUGUACCCAGAAGACUCAAGAAUUUAAAUUUUUGGCUCUAUUUUUGAAACCAUUUGGGGCCUAUAAAUACCUCACUUGGGCAGCAAGAAAGGAGCAAGAAUUUUUGAGGAAAAAACUAAGUAAACUCUGCUAAAACUUUGAGUUCCCUCCUCUUAGUGCUUAGAGUUAGUCCUAAGGGAGGUGUGUGAUGGACUACUUAUAAAAGAGUGCUAUGUGAAGGUUAUCUCCUAAACCUGUGUAAAGGAGAAAGUAUUAUAAGAGGGUAGUUGGUCUUCACCCACUUUCCGAUAUGAGCUUUAUCAAAAUGGUUUUUCUACGUUGAAUAAGUUUUCAAAUCGACAUAAUUUUUACAUAUGCACUAAUUAACCCCCCCCCCCUCUUAAUGUCGACUCGAUCCUAAUAUUAAGUAGAAAAGCAACUUUACUAGUCUCUCUAAGUAAUAAAGUUGUGGGGUUUCAAUACCUAAAGGAUCAAAUAUGUUUGGGAGAAGCAUUUAAUAAGACAACCUAUAGAUGAUUUUCAUAUCUAUGAUGGUUACUUAUUCAAAGGUAACAAGCUAUGCAUUUCGAGGAUGUCCUUAUAAGAAAAAAUUAUUCGACAUUUAUAUGGAGAAGGACUUAACGAACAUUUCAGGUGAGACAAAACAAUAGCAAGUAUCAAGGAGAGAUGCUUAUGGCUACAAUUAGAAAGGGAUGUGGGUAAUUUUGUAAGAAAAUAUCCAACUUAUCAAAUUGACAAAGAUCAAUCGCAAAACACUCAUUUAUAUAUACCAUUACCAAUUCCAAAAGGUAUUUAAGAGGAUUGAUUUAUGGAUUUUGUACUAAGAUCGCUAAUAACUCAAAGGAGAGUUGAUUCUAUAUUUGUAGUUAUGGAUUAGUUCUCCAAGAUGACUUAUUUUAUAUUAUCUUGGAAGACUUUAGAUGCGGUAUAUAUUAUGAGGCUAUUCUUUUAAUAAAUCAUGCACCUACAUGUGAUACUAAAAUCAAUCAAUUUAAUUAAAAUUCUAAAUUUCUAUCUCAUUUUUAGUUAAUCUUGUGAAAAAUAUUUGAUACAAGUUUGAAGUUUAGUAGUACAUCUCACCUACAAAUUGAUAGUCGGACAAAGAUAAUUAAUAGAAUUUUCGAAGACUUAAUUCAUUAUAUUUAUGGUGAUAAGCCAAGAUAAUGAAAUUUCAUGCUCACAUAAGCUGAAUUUGUUUAUAAUAUAGUAUUUCAUAGUUUUUUCGAAAUGUCAUCAUUCUUUAUUAUUUACAAAAAAGGUGUCGAAGCAUGUUUUGGAUUUAAUUCACCUACUAAAAACUCUCAGAAUAUGUGUAGCAACUAACAACGUAGUUGAGCAAAUAUAAUCAAUCCAAGCUAAAGUGAAGAAGAAGUUGGAAGCUACUAAUGCCAAGUAUAAGUGUCAUUAUAUCCUCUUUUUUUUUUCCUUUUUUUAAUGAUUGUUAAGCUUUUUUAGUAUUAGAGGCUUACAUGGAGGCUAAUGACUUAGAUUUUGAGACUUCAUUAAGAAUUUUGCCUGUAUUUUACGCCGAAAAUUGCGAUACAAAGAGAGCAAAAUUGAGGACAACACUUACAUAUUUAUCAUUUGAGUAUCCAAUAAUUAUUCUAAUAAUUAACGAUCGAUUUAAAAUCUCUAUAUAGACAUGUUCCAAAGAGAAAUAAUCUUAAUCAAAAGUUGGACCUGAAUAAGAUUUCGCCUUAGAACUGCGCUAAAUAUUCGUUGAUGUCAAUAGAAUUUGAUUGUUUUUCUCAUUUUGUUCGACCAAAUUGUGCACGACAGUUCACUACAUCUCAGAAAAAAAUAAGAAAAAAAAUCUGAAUCAUGUCGUUAUAAUCAAUCUUCUUCCCAUCAUUUUCGGUGAAGACUCUUAUUUUAUUAUGGAAAAAAACGGUGAACAAAAGUCAGAAAGGAGAACGGACCAAAGUGCACCCAAAUUUCUAGUAACCCACCCCACCUCCAUGAUGAUAAAUGAUGAGGGCGACACCCAACUCCCUUCGCAAGAUAUCAAACAUGGCCAUGGUCUGAACGACUCCGGGAAAACAAAGCCAUGGUUAUGGGAUUGCAUUAUGCUGUUAAAUUGGAGCUGCAAAUAUUUAUGUAAACGAUAAAUUGGUUUAUGAUAAGGACAUGGUGAUAGAAGCUCAUAUGGUUAUAUUUGAUAAUUACGUGAGAAUAUUUUUUAUCAUUUUAAAUUUCGACACAUGGUAGCAUCUAAUUUCCUAACGAAAACACUCGAUACAUUCUUUAAUCGGAUAUUAAUCCAGAAUAUCUCGAUAUGUCCAAAUCGAUAAAGACAUGAUGAUAAAAGAAGCUCAUGGUUAUAUUUGAUAAUUGUACGAGAGAAUAUUUUUUGUCAUUUUAAAUUUCGACACGUUGUAGCAUCUAAUUUUCUAAUGAAAACACUUAAUGUUUCUCUUGGUCGUAUAUCAAUCCGAAAUAUCUCGAUAUGCCCAGAUCGAUAAAGACAUGAUGAAGCUCAUGGUUAUAUUUGAUAAUUACAUGAGAGAAUAUUUUCUAUCAUUUUAAAUGUCCACACAUCGUAUCAUCUAAUUUUCUAAUAAAAACAUUUAAUACCUUUUUCUUGGUCGUAUAUCAAUCCGGAAUAUCUCAAUAUGUCCAGAUCGAUAAAGACAUGAUGAUAGAAGAAGCUCAUAGUUAUAUUUGAUAAUUACCUGAGAGAAUAUUUUUUAUCAUUUUAAAUUUCGACACAUGGUAGCAUCUAAUUUCGUAACGAAAAUAGUCAAUACAUUCUUUAGUCGCAUAUUAAUGUGGAAUAUCUCGAUAUGUCCAAAUCGAUAAAGACAUGAUGAUAAAAGAAGUUCAUGAUUAUAUUCGAUAAUUAUAUAAGAGAAUUUUUUUAUCAUUUUUAAUUUCAACACAUUGUACCAUCUAAUUUCGUAAUGAAAACACUGAAUAUCUUUCUUGGUCGUAUAUCAAUCUGGAAUAUCUCGACAUGUUCAGAUCGAUAAAGGCACGAUGAUAGAAGAAGCUCGUAGCUAUAUUUGAUAAUUAUACAAGAGAAUAUUUUCUGUAAUUUUUAAUGUCAACAAAUGGUAGGAUCUAAUUUUCUAAUGAUAACACUGAUACCUCCUUCAUAGUAUAUCAAUCCGAAAUAUCUCAACGUAUCGAAACCGACAAUUAUACAUGCUCCAUGGAUUGGGAAUCGCUAUAGCGCCUUAGCAAAAGUCAAGCUCAUGUCUACCUAGUUUAUGCUCUCAUGGUCCAACCUCCAACGUAUUGGAAAACUACGACAUAAAAGGGUCAAACAUAUCCCUUUAAUUGUAAACUAACGAAAACAAUAUAAUCUUAUAUUGAUAUAGACAAUAUCAUUUAUGAUAAUAUAAGCUCAUGUAAGGAGAUGAGGAAUAAAAGAACAAAGACCUCUCAAUCUCCCUCUCUACCUCUCUUUUACUGAUUCCUUUGUAUCUUAGAAUAUAUGAAGCUCUAACCCCUCGAGUGAAGCACUCUUGAUUGAUCAUCCGAGAAUGGGUCAUGAAGAAUCCUCAAUGCUUCUUGGCGGAGAUACUCUUGACCUCCGGUUUACUUGAUAAUAUUGUCUAAAUAUAUGACACUAAUGAUUCAGACGAAAGAACUUCGCUCCAUCCUCUCCAUGUAGGAUGGAUGACCACCCAUCACGUAAGAUUCUUUAAAGAAAUCGUUAUAAUUAAAGGAGAAAAGAAAAUAAAUAACAAACAAGCAAUAUUAAAUCCCUCGUUCUCACUCGUUGAAUCAGGCAAGAACCACAAUUUUCAUUUCCAAUAGCCUUUGAUGGUACGAUCGGAACAAAAAUUAGAAAAGUAAAAAAGAACUCUCUAAAAGUUUCAAAAGAAAAAAAAAGAUGGGUCAUCAAAAUAGUUCUAAUUCUAAAAUGAGUUCUAAAACGAAUAGUUCUAGUUCUAAAACGAACAGUUCUAGUUCUAAAACGAAUAAUGAAGAAACUUGAAAAAGUGAACCAAAUUUCUUUAUUUGAAUUGAGGAAGGGAAAAGUACAUGAACCAAAUGAAAAUGCAAAAGAUUCAAAAAAAAAUAAUCAGAUUAUUCACGAAUCGACCAUUCAAAUUCGAUCUAUGAAUUGGACAAAUUAUUUACUCAUAGAAAAAAAAAUGAAAGAUCUUGCUGAUAAGACAAUCACAAUAAAGU
rnacentral:lncRNA from 1 species